rnacentral:lncRNA from 1 species
AAUUUCUUCCAUUCAACCAACUGGCAGCAUUGAACUCUCAUGCUUAUGUACAACAACAACAACUACUACCAUUCAGCCAGCUAGCUGCUGUGAGCCCUGCUGCCUUCUUGACACAGCAACAUUUGUUGCCGUUCUACCUGCACACUGCGCCUAACGUUGGCACCCUCUUACAACUGCAACAAUUGCUGCCAUUCGACCAACUUGCUUUGACAAACCCAGCAGUGUUCUACCAACAACCCAUCAUUGGUGGUGCCCUCUUUUAGAUUGCUUAUGAGUUAUAGUUCAAUAAUAAAGUUUUUUUUGCUGAUAUUUGUGGCUUCCCAGAAAUAAGAAAGUACAUUUCUAGAUUCUUAUGUGCUUCUAGUCUCCAAAUGUGGUUGAUAGUUAUUUUGCUCUAAGAUCGGCAGUAAUGAGGUAUAAAUACUUGUUGUCGUGUGCUACUCGGUUAAUUGAGCAUUAACACACAUAAACAUUACAAGGAUGGUAUAAUCUCCUAAAAUGUGUACAUUGUUAGGUGUAACCCUAUAGCCAUGCAGAAUGUGCUAUGUUAGGCAUGCCGAUGGAAACGUGUGACACAUACGUUUUGUUAACCUAUUGAUAUUAUAUGUGCCUUUUAUAUUACCAUAUUUUAUUAAAAUACUAAUAUUUAUUACUAGUAAGAUAUAACAUUCUAUCUAGCUUAAAAACUAACCAUAAAUAUUCCAUCAUAACUAGAUUUACCAAACUAAUAUACUAAAUAUACAUAAUAAAUACAAAAUUAACAAUACAAUAUCAAUAUUUAUGAGCUUAAUAAAUUUAAACAUUAUGGUUGGCCGACGAUAAUCAUACUGACUUUCCGUAAUUGCUUGAUUGUAAAUAUACUUAGACUAAUGCCUCUUUGUUCUACAUGGCAAAUAGGGACCACUCUAGGAGACUAGGAUGUUGCUUGAGACGAAGAUGUUAUCAUUGGUGUAGACUAAUUUCUAUCAGCCGCUGACUUCACUAUUGUAACCAUUAUCUCUUGGGUAAAUCAUAUACGAUUAUCUAGCCAAAGGCCCAGAUGAUAAAAACAAUUUUUAAUUGCUAUUUCAGGACAAAUGAAUUAGCAUGGUUCGAAGGAUUGCGACCUUCCCCCCAUGACUUUUAUCGUAUUGUGUUAGUCUAAUCGACAAAACCAAGAUUAGAUAUCAUCGAAGAAGUUGAUAAGCGAAUCUGUGACCACUAUCAGAAUCAGCUGCUUUGCCGAGUGUCUAAAACACUCGACAAAGCCUGAAAAACACUCGGCAAAGGAUUUGCCGAGUGUAACACUCAGCAAAGAAAGCUCGGCGAAGUAUACAUCGGCAACGACUUCUUUGCCGAGUACUUUUUAUCGGGCACUUGGCAAAGAAGCGUCAUUGUCACGACGAUAGGUAAUGCCGACGGAGUCUGUGACGAGUGUCACAGAGUGACGCUCAGCAAAGGCUCACUCUUUGCUGAGUGACCACUGUACAGACACUCGGCAAAGAAGCCCCCGUGGGUCCCUUUAUCAGGGCCUUUGCCGAGCGUAUUAGGUGGCACUCGGCAAAGGCUCCAUCUUUGGUGACUGCCCGCCAGACUAGCAAUCGACAAAGGGAUCAACAGCGGAUCCCUUUGUCAGUUCUUUUGUCGAGUGCUCUAGGAGGCACUCAAUAAAGCUUGUGUUGGGGGCCUUCUUCUUCCGAAGGUCCUCAAAAACGUGACUAACCAUAGGUUUUCAGUAUGACAUAGACUAUUAUAGGAAGCUUUGGCUUUGGGAUGAAGGCGUGUGAUAUGAGGAUACAGCCCAAAGGCAACAUGGAUGGACGUCGAAGCUAUGGCUAAAGGAGUUUCGGCUUGGCAUGUUAGCGAAGAUGAAGGACGAAACCGACCUAAGGGAGAAAAGACUAGUUAGUCCUUGAUAGUUUGCAUUAUGAUUAAGAGCAGAUAUCAGGGGCAUGCAUGUAAUCUUAUCCGGGCUGCGUCCCGUGCCUAUGAAUAGAUGAAUAGUAACACCGUACUGUUCACGCUGGAUUAUAAUCGCUCCUACGUCACUCUCGCGUCUUCACCUUUUGGUAAGCUGAAGGUAUCAAUGUAAUACAAAUAUUGAUGAUGUUUAUUCAUGUUUAUGAAAUGAGAAUAUAAAUAGCUUGCUGAUUCGUAAUCAUUAUUUAUAUUCUUUUGUAUUUCAUGUACCCUUAUUUAGAUGUGUUCACUGAGAUGAUGAAGGUAUGCCCUUCAUGACCUUCGUUCGGAAACCAUUAUAUCCAAAAGGAGAUAAUGCUUCGAAGGACGAAGGUCUCUAAUUAUUGACAAUCAUGUUGUCUUGUUCUUGAUGUAUAGCAUUUGGGAACAAGGACCAACAUUGGCGCCCACCUCCCGUGAACUCAAUCGACCACCUUCGGCAAGCAUCGACUUUCGUAAUGCCGCCGAAGAAGACAAUAGUGCCAGGGGCUGCCCUGCAGCCACUGGACACUAAUCAGGAAACGCUGCGAGAAGCUAGGAUCUAGAAGAGGAAGGCUACUAGCCCAACACCUCAGGAGGAGGAGCUAGAUCAGGAGAUCAGAGAUUUGGAGGCUAUCACCAGCAGGUACAAAGAAAAAGGGAAAAGAUGCUUCAGCUCGUCGAACUUCAGAGAAAGAUCGACAAAGCUGCUGAAGAAAUGCGUCACCUUACCCAGGAUGACCAAGACCGAAGGCCCCAACAUAGGGAGCUUCAUCAAGAAAGCCCAAUUAAUGACGAUGAGUGGUAUGGUGACUUUCAUCGUGGCAAUUUUGCUUUUGAUGAUGCUUCUCCCUUGGCAGCAGAAUUGCAGGCUACCCCGUGGCCGCCAUCAUACAAGCCACCUCAGCUCCCCAUGUAUGACGAGCACUCAGACCCGAAGCAACCAUAUCCUCAUAUGGGGGCAAUACUGCGGUCAUGGCAAAGUCCUUCGUCAUGGCAGUUAGAAGCGUGGCUCAAACAUGGUGCUCUUCUCUUCGGCCAGGGACAAUUACGUCGUGGCAAAAGCUAAAAUACAUACUGGUCACUAGCUUCUAGGGUUUCCAAUCGAAACCAGUUACUGUCCAAACUCUGUUCCAGUGCACACAGGACCAAGAAGAAUACCUCCAAGCGUAUGUCCGAAGGUUCCUGCGAUUGAGAGUUCAGGCGCCUACAGUGCCCAAUGAGAUUGUCAUUGAGGCCAUGAUCAAGGGGUUCAGACCAGGACCAACGGCGCAAUACUUUGCAAGGAAGCCACCACAAACCCUAGAGAAGCCGACGAUGAUUUUCGGCAAAGAAGGCAAGAAGCCUACAGAUACUCUGAGAUGGCCAGGGGCUUCGGAGGAAGAUUUCACCCUAGGCAUGUCAGGUCAAUCCAUAAUACCAGCUCAAGUGACGACAAGGGAAACCAUACCCAAAGGCAGCAACACAGCUCUCAGUCGUCAGGAGCACAACAAAGCUCUUUGAGGCCACCGGCUCCAAGAGGUAGAGGGGGGAGAAGCUUCGGAGGAAGAUAUGGAGAUCAGCCCAGUAAACAGUUUUGUUUGUUCUGCGGUGAAGAUAAGGGGCAUACCACAAGAACGUGCCAAGUUAUGAUUCAGAAGCAGAAAGAAAUUGCUGAAGCUGAAGCACGUUCGAAUCAGCCGAAGCAGGUUCUGCAUACUGCUUCGUGCUACUCUCCCUACGUCCCGGAGUAUGUAGACAAUCAACAGCCUACGACCUUGGUCGCUUCGGCAAGCCAUUCUCAAGCUUCCUGGGCCCAGUUGCCACCACCACCACCGCUAGCACAUGCUCUGGUCCGCAAUCAAUAGCCAGAAGGGCACCACCAUGCUUAGUAAUAGCGCGACCUUCGGGAGGAGUCCGAAGCUCGCACAGUCAACAACAUUGUGCCUAAGUCGAAGCACAUCUAUUAAAGGUGCCACGGUGAUUCAAUUAAAGAAUAUCUUACCCUAAUGUAUCUUAGUUUUUCCGCCAUUUUAUUUUCUUGCAUGAAAAACAAUUCACGAAGGAUUAAUUUCCAAUUUGAUGUAAUAAUACCGUGGUCGCACCAUCGAGUGUGGAGCGCAUCGCCUUAACAAUACUUCCGAAGCUACAAAGACGUUCCUAAGGGAGCGCGGAGUAAGUUCUGAAGCUACAAAGUUGUUCAUAAGGGAGCGCAGAGUAAGUUCCGAAGCUCAAAAGUCGUUCUUAAGUGAAUGCAGAGCCAAGAUGCCACCAAAAUAAAAGGUGAAGAAGCUCAAAAGUCAUUCCUAAGGGGAUGCAGAGCUUAAAUGCCACCGAAAUAGAAGGUGAAGAAGUUCCAAAGUCGUUCCUAAGGGGAUGCAGAGCUUAGCUCCAAAGAUGUUCCUAAGGGGAUGCAGAGCUGAAAUAUAACCUAAGUAAAAAGUGAAGAGACUCAAAAGUCGUUCCUAAGGGGAUGCAGAGUCUGGAUGCAUUUUCGAGUGGGUGUGUUUCUUCGGCAUAAACAUCAUGCUGUAUCAUAUCAUCACAUCAUUUCUCAUAGCAUUACAUCAUACAUCACAUCACAUCAGCAACAGAACUGUGGAGAAGCAAAGAUGCUUCUUUCAAAAUAUUUGAUGAAUGGAACAAUGGGCUGAAGCAGAAAGUGUACCUUCAACAGCUAUAAUUUUACAUACCAAGAAAAAUCUUCGUCGACAAACAAUAUUAUAUAACAGCUACGACAUAAGAAGGGGUGAUUUUUUAUUUGUGAAGCAUGAAAAGAAGGGAAGGUGUUUUUUCACCAAAGGCUAAAAAACAGGUAAGUACAUACAUUUCAUGCAUCACAAAGAAAUAUAUUACAUUAAUAUACAAACAAAUGUUCGAUGUUCGACUCAUACACGAAUAUUACAUUUCUUAGUACACAAGAAUUUAGUCUUCUUUCAAUAUUUUCUCGGUAGCUUCAUGUAGGAGUUUGUUGACAGCUUCAUCAACGGCUUCUUCGGCAAUCCUUAUCGUUUCUAAUGCCCCCCUCAUGGCCGGAUCGGCCUCGGGAUCAUAUGGCUCAGGCGGUGGUGAAAAAUCAGCUGUAAUAAAGAACAAGUUGUUAAUAUCAAAGCCAGAAACAAAUACUGAAGCUAAAAUUCAGUAAUAAUACCUAUACGCCUUGCGCGCUCAGCAACCUCUUGGCUCGCUUAGCUUAUUCUCGAGCAUCAUGGGAUUCUUUUUCAUUUGUCUUUAUAGCUUCAUCGGCUAUCUCACGGCCACCUUUCAUCCAAACAUUGGAAUAAAACUUCUCGCCCAUCAAAGUAGCUUCGGCCGAAGGCUCCUUCAUGUCGUCUAUGGAGAAGACGGCUUCCGCCUGGGCUGCAGUUUUAACAUGUUCACAGCCAGUUUUCUCCAAAACUGCUGCAACCCCUCGGGCACCGGCGAAGGCACAAAAAUCCUCGCGUUCGCUAAGUAUUUCCUCAAAAGCUUCAACUUCUUCGCAAAUCCAUUGAACGACUCCUUUUGGAUCGCCUCGAAUAAAUUUUUGCUCCGAUGAGUAUGCACCCACCUUUGCAAAACUGUCUUUCAGUUUCUUUGCAUAGUCCAUGGAUACUUCGUAGCAUUUCUCUCUGGAACCCCGAAGUUCUUCAACAUUCUUCUCAAGCCUGGAGCUUGUCCAUUCACUUAUAUCUUACUUUGCCUUAGCAAGUUCAAUAUUUUCGCUCAUUUCGGCAAGUUUUUUGUGAAGGUCUUCGACUUCGGCUUGGUGAGCUUCGGAUUGUGCAUUAAGUUUUGCUUCGUUGCUCUUCAGUUUAUCCACCAAGGAAAGCAGUAUUUUAUCUUUUUCAAGCGCCUCGUUCCUUAAUGUAAUAACUUAUGACCGAAGGUUCCCAAGGGCUAUUUGGCAGCUUUCAUCUUCUGCAUUCUUUUGUGCCCUUAAAGCCUUGCUUAGGAUUAAUGCCUACAAAAAAUGAAGGAUCAGCACACAACAAUAAGAAAAGAUACAAAAAGUAAUCUGCUUAUAAGCUAAAAUGUCCUCACCAUCAGACUGUUAUAAGCAAGGAUGUCUGCAAGGUCAUCUUUCGACAUUGCAGACAACCCAAGCUCUAGCUUCGGGAAACCUAUAUUUUUUGCCAUCUCCCGACAAACAAAUAUUUUCUUGUUGUCUGGAAGGCAAUACAAAAAAUCAUCUUCGUCAGUGCCAUUAAACAUGAGGGAUCCUGGGGGAUACUUCAGAUCCUUAGCAAAUUGCCUAGCUUCGGCAACCUGCUCCUCUGAUAGUUUUUCCCUACCGCGUGACACACUAUAAAUUCCGAUCCCUCAGUAGAAGCUUCAACGGCAAGGAAUUCAGAUUCUUUGCUGGUUCUCUCUUUUCCUAACGGUAACGGAGCUUUUUCAGCAUCCAAAGGUCCUUUUUCAGCAUCCUUUUCAAUAAGCUCUGCAGGCCCUAUUUCUGCGGGAACUGAGGGCCCAGCUUCAGCUUCAACCCAAGUUAUGAUAGCUUCGGCAGUUUCCUUUGUACUUUUCUUACCCAUGCUAGGUACUUCUGUAGAGGCAGGAGUUAGUACUUUUGUCGAUUCCAUGACAGCAUCCAGUACACUAGCCAUUCUCCUCCUUUUUGGAGUUAUCAAAGUAGUUUUUUGAAUCUUCGGCAAUUCUGCCUCUGGCCGUGAAAAAGUUUUUGGCUGCUCCGCUGCUAUCUUCAGAAUUGGCUCUUCGGCUGAUCCCAAUAUGGCUUCGGCAGUAGCGAGAUGAUUUUGCUCAGCUGCAGAAGAAGACCCUUCAACAGGCUUUGACACUUUGGCCGUCUCAGAGUGCCUGGGCCGGUGUGUCAAGACUUUGCCAUUUUUCCCUUCGGCGUGGCAGAGAUUGCCGAAGCAGUAGCCUUCCUUUUCUUUCCCUGCUUUCGCGAGGGAUAACAAUAGUCUGGGUACACAAAACCAAUUACAUCAAAAACCCUAUUUAAUCUCUUCUUGCCUCGUCCUCCGAAGGCCAAUGUCAUGGCAUCGUCUUCGGCCCUUGUGUAGGCCCCAAGCAAUUCGUCACUAGUAGCCUCAAUGCAAUCCAACCAGUCAUCGUUCGGCUCAUCGAACUGAUCUCUGUAUCUGAAGGUGUAUUUCAGAUAAACUAAACUAACUUGACUGGACCCGGCCGCAGCUUCCUUCGACAUCUCCCAGCCACUUCCAAGAGGCCACACUCUGUAAGCAAUAUGCUCCUAGACUAAGUCCCUAGUGCCAAUAUAAGUACAUAAAGUGUUAAAGUCCGUAUGGCAUGCUUGAAUAUCAUGUCCAUGGACAGUGGUUGGCCUCCUAAUGCCGAAGCGAGACCAGAUAGGGCAUUGAAUGAUCCCCUUUAUAUCUUCUCUUUCAACUAAGUUGUUCUUCACAUAAAACCACUCUUGCAUCCAGGCUCCUGGCCACCUCUUCCAAAAUGUUGGGACGGGAUAGCUCACACCAGAGCGAGGCAUGAAGCCGUAACAACGAAAAUUAUUAUGAUAUUGUUCUAUGCCAGUAGCCUUUGUCUCAUAGGACAGGUCAUGCAUGUUGCAGAAGCAUUUUGCAUUCGGCUCUAAACCCUGGCCCAAAUGAAAACUCCCAUUCUGAUGAUAUCUUCGGGGGUAAUUUGAUGAAGGUAAAUUUCAAAAGUCUUCAAAACUUCAACUAAAAAUUUGUUCAGGGAGAAUCGAAGCCCUGCUUUCAUAGAACUCCUGUAGACAACAACUUCGUCUGCUUCGGGCAUAGGGGCACUGCUAUCUCCUCUGGCCCUCAUGAUAGAAAUAUCGCGGAAGUAUCUUCCUUUCAUUGCAUCAAUCUGACUCUGUUUGAUGGUUGAUUUAGCAAAGAUGGUAUGACUCGGUCGCCAGGGCUGAUCUUCGACAUCUUCGUUUCCACUUUCUAAGUCAAAACUUUCACUAUCGCUGGAAUCUUCAGACAACCCAACCAACAUCUCAUUGGUGAUCUUCUUCAUAUUUGUCUUCUCCAUAGCUUCAUAAAACCCGGCCAAUGCAGGGUCAGCAAUCUUCUUCUCUUUAGCCAUUUAGACAACGAUUGCACGAUUGUCGAAGCUUAAAACUCAAUCAAAACUCGACAGAGCAAGAGAAUUCAGAAUGUCUAAAAUAGCGCAAGCAACUGAAAUAGCACAGCAAAUGCUGCCAAUGCGAGUUUCUAUUUAUAUGCCUCACGAUUUGGUGGGCCAUACAUGUCAGUGGCUUUCGCUAUUCUAGCGAAGGGAAGGUGUUUUUUCGGAUCUUCGGUUAAAGGCCUUCGUUCACGUCACAGUCUAAAUUUGUUACAAAGAAACAAAUUAAUACUACGAGGGGCUACUGUUGGGGGCCUUCCUUUUCCGAAGGUCCUCAAAAACGUGGCUAACCAUAUGUUUUCAGUAUGACAUAGACUAUUAUAGGAAGCUUCGGCUUUGGGAUGAAGGCGUGUGAUAUGAGGAUACAACCCGAAUGCAACAUGGAUGGACGUCGAAGCUAUGGCUAAAGGAGCUUCAGCUUGGCAUGUUAGCGAAGAUGAAGGACGAAACCGACCUAAGGGAGAAAAGACUACUUAGUCCUUGAUAGUUUGCAUUAUGAUUAAGAGUAGAUGUCAGGGGCAUGAAUGUAAUCUUAUCCGGGCUAUGUCCCGUGCCUAUAAAUAGAUGAGAAGUAACACCGUACUGUUCACGCUGGAUUGUAAUCGCUCCUACAUCACUCUCGCAUCUUCACCUUUUGGCAAGCCGAAGGUAUCAAUGUAAUACAAAUAUUGAUUAUGUUUAUUCAUGCUUAUGAAAUGAGAAUAUAAAUAGCUUGCUGAUUCAUAACCAUUAUUUAUAUUCUUUUGUAUUUCAUGUACCCUUAUUUAUAUGUGUUCACUGAGAUGAUGAAGGUAUGCCCUUCAUGACCUUCGUCCGGAAACCAUUAUAUCCAAAAGGAGAUAAUGCUUCGAAGGACGAAGGUCUCUAAUUAUUGACAAUCGUGUUGUCUUGUUCUUGAUGUAUAGCAUUUGGGAAUAAGGACCAAUAGCUUGCUUCUUUGCCGAGUGCCAAGGCCACAGCACUCGGCAAAGAGUCUUUACCGGUGCGCAGGUGUGCCUUCUUUGCCGAGUGCUAUGACAUUGACACUCGGCAAAGUAUCUCUUUGUCGAGUGUAACACUCGACAAAGUGACCAGAUUAUCCCUUUUUAUUUGUUUUUGCUAUUCCAUCCAAACAAAUAAAAGAUAUAUCGCAUAAUCAUCACAUAUACAUCAUAGAUAUCACAUAAUCAUCGCAUACAUAAUAGAGACUGCAUAUUUCACAAAAAACACAAAUCUCACAAGUUUUUCUCAAACAUGUCCAUGUUCAUACCAAGAUUCACUAACAUAAGUAUCACACAACUCUAAAACAUAAGUUUUUCACAAACAUAAGUUUAGGACAAGUUUAUCACACAAGCUAAGAGAAGAUCAUGAGCGAGGUGGGCGGCUGGACUGGUGCGGCGACGGGCUGGGCGAUCCACGAGGGUUGUUGGAUGCCGCCCUAGAUUGUCCCUGCACAGAGAAGAGAUUGCCUGUGUUAUACUAGAUAAAUAUACAUCAUGCAGGACUAGAAUUUUGAUACUCAUAGGAGUAUGGAACUGAGCAGGGUCAACUGGAGGGAACAACGGAGGUGGUGGAGCAAAACCCUGUGCGGUGCCAAGGCUCUGCAUGUACUGGAACAUCUCUGCCAUCCUCUGUUGAUUUUCCAUGUGGGCCUCCCGCUCCGCCAUCAUCCUCGCCUCCAUAUCCUACCGUUCCCUCCUCUCUUCUUCUAGCUAGGCAUAUAAUAUUUCAACCCAGUGUUAUAAUAACUCAAAGAGAAGGUAUAUAACUCAAGGAAAGACGAGUUACAGAAGCACUAACCUGGAGUUGUUGUAUCUCAUGAUGUGAGUUGUCCUGUCGAGGUCGUAUGGCUGGGCUUGAGCUCGUGGUCCUUGCUCGCACCUGAGACAGAGUGGGAGUGGACAACGAGUCGAUUGUCCCGUCGGCAAUCCAGUACCUCCCAUGCCUCUUGCCUCCUCUGACCCUCAUGAGAACAUCUCCGUCGAUUUCCUUGGUCCUCGGAUCGUAAUCUGGCCCAUGGACCUCAUGUGACAUGGCAGUGUACUCACUUAGGCGGUUGUAGACGGCGGAGUUGCUAUAUGCCUCGGGCCCGUCAUCCGGGUUGUAGGUGACAUCGGACGUCGCCUUUCCCUUGUGGGCCAUAGCAUAAACCGAGAAGAUGGAGCAUGGCUGGCCACCAUGUAACACCAAAUGCAAUAAAAUCAAUGAGAUAGUUAGAAAUAAUAUCUAAACCAGUGCUAUAUACCUAAAUAAAAAGAGGGCGUACCCAUGCUUCUACAUAUUUCCAGAGGUUGCGACUGCCUUGGUGGUGGGAGGGACCUUACAUCAUCAAAUGUCGUUCCAUGCUAGCGUUGUGCGCCUCGUCCCACUUAGGCGAGCACCACCUAUCCACCAUCUGCUCCUAGCACUGAGGAUGCGCGGCGCACCAAUAAGGAAUCAUCUACAAACUAAAACAAGUACAUUGCAUAUCAGAAGAUAAAAUUAAGCAAUUUUUUUCACGAAUAUUAAAGUGAUGUAUUUACCUGCAAGUAUUGGUCCCUAGUCAACGACAUGGUUCGGGCCUCUUGUUUGGUCACCUUCUCUCUAAGGACGGAGCCAUGGUAGAUGAUGAUGACCUAGAUUCGUGCAUCGUAGUGCAUGUCCACGACGAGCUUCUUACAGCUUGUGGUGGCCACCACAUUUGCCCUGGCCUCGUAUCCAGCCUCGCAUCUGAAGAAAUCCUACAUACAAAGGCGAUAUAUCCAUACAUUAUUUCAAGUAUGUGCAACAAAUGCGACAUAUUUUACAAUAUAGUAAGACUUACUCAUAGCUUUUGCUUCACCCGCUCUGCCAUGUUGUUAAAUUCCCUAUCGUCCUAGUCUACUGCAUCAGGGGUGACGACGUAGUGGUCGAAGGUGUAGGCAGUAGGUUGGGCCCACCACUCCAGCGUACUCAACCAGUCCAGGGAAGUGUUCCCUACACAUAAGGCCAAGGAUGCCAUUGGGUUGUGGUCGUGACUCCCUGCAUUCUCCACAACCUUUCAAGACCUGUCCAAGUGAUAAAUAAAAAGUAUUAGUUUAUAUUAUGAAUUUGAACACAUAAUAUGAACAAACAGUGAGAACAUAAAAUUACAUGUCUCUCCCCAUCCUUCUGAAUCAGCGACCGCCUAUCUCGAAGUAUGGGACGCUGAGGGAGACUCGUGGGACCUCGCUGGUAGACGUUCCUCGAAUCUGAAGCACCAGAACCUGAGGCGUCUUGCUGAGCGUCGUCGUCGUCCUACUGUGUCGCAUCGAUAACGACCUGCUGCUGGACGUCGUCAUCCUGUUGUGCCUUCUUCGCCUUCCUACGGGUGCUCCUCCUCCCCCUCCUUGUCCUCAUCCCACCGCCCACCAUAUUUGUCCAACAACCUGUAAUUAAGGGUAAGCAAAUAAGCACAUAUAAAAAAGUUUAUUUACAAAUAGGCGUGAAAUAAAAAAAAUAGCAUUACAUCGUUUAAAAAAAUCUUCAUAUGUGUCGGGGUUAGCCAGAUCAUAAGUGUCAUCAUCACAAUCAACCAUUUCAUAGUCAACACCAUCUGAAGGCGCAAGUUCUUCAUUAAUGUCAUUGCCUUCAAGUAAUUCUAAGUCAUUCUCAUUUUGCACCUCAUCAACAACCAUUUCAAUAUCUACUUCCAUUCCGAUAGCUUCGGUUAAGUCUAUCUCAAAUCACCCUUCUAGCCCAUAUUCUUGGAAGAACUCUCCAUCAUAUGUAUCCGGGUCUAAGUUAUAAUCUUCAUCAUUUGGAACAGGUAAUUUACCGUGCAGUGAUACCUUAUACACAACAUCCCAACCCAUCCAUGCCUCAUAUAGGAGAUGAAGAAUCAAAUGCUGCAUUGGAUUGAAGAAGUCGAGUGGAAAUAUCUUCUCAAGCUUACACAAAAACACGGGUGUCAAUCUUUCCAAGUCUGCAAUCACGGACCAAGAUAACUCUUUCACACAAAGCUGGCAGAAUAAAUAGCUGAACUUUGUAAGCGCUAGCCAUACAUGCUCAGGGACAUAGCCUCGAACCAUCGUCGGAAGAAUCUGUUCAAUCCAUAAGUGGAAGUCAUGACUCUUCAUCCCUAAGACUCACAGAGUAGAUAAGUUCACCCCCCUACUUAGGUUAGCUGCAUACCCAUCAGGAAACAUCAACAUCUUGAUCCACUAAAGUACUUCCUUCCUCUGGGCCCUACUUAGGACGAAAUCGGCCUUAGACCUUCUCCAUGUCUUUCCACCACUAGGCGGCUUCAUUUCUUGGUUUGGUCUAUCACAUAACGCUGUCAGAUCCACUCUUGUCUUUACAUUAUCCUUUGACUUAUCAGGAAUGUCCAUAAUUGUUGCCCAAAGUGCCUCGGCGACAUUCUUUUCAGUGUACAUCAAGUCAAUGUUGUGUGGAAGGAGUGGGUCAUCAUAAUAGGGGAGCCGAGUCAAGCCCGACUUAUGUGUCCACAUAUGCUGCUCACCAUAUCCCACAAAUACACCUUCUGGAUUGGCCACGAGCCCAUCUAUUUGUUGACGAAUUUCGGCACCAGUCAUCAUUGCAGGUGGUUGGUCUGUCACUACAACACCUUUCGUAAAGUUAUUGAUGUCUAGGCGGAAUGGAUGGUUAGGAGGGAGAAAUUGUUGAUGUUUAUCGAACAACGAAUAUUUGCCACCCUUUUUCAACCAAAUGAACUUAAGAGCUUCCUUACAAACUAGGCAUGGGAACUUACUGUGAACACAAUAGACACAGAAUAGCCCAUACGCCGGUAAGUCAUGCAUGGCGUACUAGUACCAAACAUGCAUUUUGAAGUUUUUCUUCGUAGCUCGGUUAUACGUCCAUACCCCUUCCUCCCAAGCAUGUACGAUUCAUCAAUCAAAGGCUCCAUGUACACGCCCAUUUUAUUCCCCGGGUGUCCGAGAAUUAUCAACGACACAAAUAUGUUCUGCCUUUAAAAGCAUACACCGGGGGGAGAUUGAUUGGGAUAACAAACACGGGCCAACAUGUGUAUGGGGCAGCGCUCAUUCCAUAGGGAUUGAACCCAUCUGUGGCCAGCGCAACACGUACAUUAUGAGCCUCUUCAGCUUUCUCGCGGUAAAUGGCAUCAAAGUGUUUCCAUGCUUCACCAUCGGAUGUGUGCACCAUCUUAUCAUGAUUGUAUCGUUUGCCAUUUUUGUGCCAUGUCAUCUGUUUCGCGGAUUCCUCAGUCAUGUAUAGACGCUGGAUCCUCGGUGUGAACGGAAGGUGGUGUAGGAUUGUCACGGGGAUGUCGAGCUGCCUAUCAUGUCCAUCACCAAAGUCUACCUCCAUGAACCUAGACGAUUUACACUUCGGACAGUACUUUGCUUCCGUGUAUUCUUUCCUAAAUAGCACGCAGUCCUUCGGACAAGCAUGUAUCUGCUCAUAUGUCAUCUUGAGUGCACGGAGGAGUUUCUGUGUGUUGGGGACCUUCGGCAUCCGAAGGUCCUCAAAAACGGGAUUUAACAGUAUUUCUGGAAGUAUAAUGUGUGAGCAGGUACCUUCAGACUCAAGUCGGUAUCACGGCAGGAGAAGACCCGGAUAAUACGAAGGUCUUGAUACAACGCCGAAGAUGUUAGCAGGAAAGCUUCGGCAUGGUUGCAGAAAAUGAAACCGACUUAAAGAUGAAAAGGCUAUUCAGACCUCGAUAGAUUACUAUAGAAUUAUUAUCAAAUGUAAAGGGCAUGAAUGUAAUUUUGUAUGGGCUGUGUCCCGUGCCUAUAAAUAGGUGAACAGAACCCCCGUACUGUUCACGCUGACUUGGCAUUCGCUUUUUGCGUCACGCUUGUACUGUCAUCUCCUUCCGAUUGAAGGUACACUUGUAAUUCAACGAUAUUUCUGUUUAUGUCUGAUAAUAAUAUAUAAUUGUUCAUAUUGUCUUUUAUGUUCUUUACAUUUCAUUCUUCGUCAUUGCUUAAUGAAUUUAUGAAGGUACGUCCUUCAUAACCUUCGUCCGUAAACCAUUAUAUCCUAAGGGAAAUAAUGUUUCGGAGGGCGAAGGACUUUAACGAUUAACAUUUUCUAUGUUGCCUUGUUCUUAACUCAUAGCACUUGAGAACAAGUCCCCAACAUUGGCGCCCACCUCCGGUGAACUCACUUCCACUCUUUGAAGUUUUUUGAACACCUUCGGCGAUCAUAAAUCUUCGUUAUGGCGCCGAAGAAAGCUUCAGCGACUGGGGCUGCAGCUCUGCAACCACUGGACCACAAUCAGGAGACAGUUUCCCUGCGGGAGGCCCGAAGCCAGAAAAGGAAGGCUGUCAGUCCGACACCACCAGAGGACGAGAUAGAUCAAGAAAUCAGAGAUAUGGAGAUGCUUCAUCAACAAGUACAGAGGAAGAAAGAAAAGAUGGCCAGGCUAGCUGAACUGCAGAGGCAGAUAGACGAAGCCUCUGAAGAAGUUCGUCAUCUUGCUCAGGAUGAGCAACACCGAAGGCCUCAGCACCAAGACCUUCAUCAGGAGGGUUUUCCCAACGAAGAUGACUGGUAUGACAAUUUCCAUCAUGGGAAUUUUGUUUUUGAUGAUGCUUCUCCUCUGUCCGCUGAGCUGCAGGCUACACCUUGGCCUCCGUCCUACAAGCCGCCUCAGCUUCCCGUAUUCGAUGGUCACUCAGACCCGAAGCAGUUUUUGAUGAGCUACGAAGCAACAGUAUCUUCGUAUGGUGGCAAUGCUUCAGUCAUGGCCAAAUCUUUCGUUAUGGCUGUCAGAAGUGUUGCUCAAACCUGGUAUUCCUCCCUUCGACCAGGAACGAUCACUUCAUGGCAGAAGCUGAAGGACUUGUUGUUAACUAGCUUUCAAGGAUUUCAGACGAAGCCGGUCACUGCUCAGGCUCUGUUCCAGUGCACCCAGGAUCACGAAGAAUACCUUCAGGCGUAUGUCCGAAGGUUCUUGCGUUUGAGGGCACAGGCACCAACGGUGCCCAAUGAAAUUGUCAUCGAGGCCAUGAUCAAGGGGCUUCGGCCAGGACCGUCAGCUCAGUACUUCGCCAGGAAGCCUCCUCAAACUUUGGAGAAGCUGCUCCAGAAGAUGGACGAGUACAUUCGGGCCGAUAAUGAUUUUCGCCAAAGAAGGGAGGAGGCUUUCAGGUUUUCUGAAAUGACCAGGGGCUUCGGAGGGAGGUUCUACCCGAGGCACGUGAGAUCAAUUCAUAACUCUACACAAAAAUGAUGAUAGAGGAAGCCAACAGCAAAGGCCACAAUGCUCCUCACAGGCUUCGGGGCAACAGCAAAGCUCCUUCCGACCACCAGCUCCAAGAGGCAGAGGCGCCAGGGGCUUUGGAGGAAGAUUUGGAGAUCAACCGAGAAGAAUCUUUUGCUUAUUCUGCGGUGAGAACAAAGGCCAUACUACCAGGAUGUGCCAUGUUACUAUUCAGAAGCAAAAGGAAAUAGCUGAAGCCGCAGCACAACAAGCUCAGCCGAAGCAGGUCAUGCAUACAACUUCGUAUCAUUCGCCCUACAUCCCAGAAUAUGUGGGCAACCAUCCUGCAGUUUCUGUUGCUUCGGCAAGUCAGCCUCAAGCUUCCUGGCAACAGCCUCCGCCUCCACCUCCGUUGCAACAAGGCCAGCAACCAGAAGGGAGCCAGUAUGCUCCACACCAGAGGGACUUCAGAGAGCAGUCCGAAGCUCGUACAGUCAAUAGCACUGUGCCAGAGUCAAAGCACAUCUAUUGACGAAUAUCCUACCUUAAUAGCAAUCUUUUUCAUUCAGUUUUAUUUUCUGUAAUAAAGGACAUUGUUUAGGUUUCAUGUAAUUAGUUUCGUUGAUUCCUACAAGAAAAAUAUGUUUUCCUCACAGGCUUAAAUUGAUUGAAGUUCAAAGACUUGUGAUAAAAAAAAGGACCUUCGAACUAUCGAAAAUUCUUCGAAGCAACAAAAAGUCGUUCUAAGGAACGCAGAGUAAGUUUGCCGAAGUCACAAAAAGUCGUUCCAAAGGGAGCGCAGUGUAAGUUUUCUGCUCCAAAGUCGUUCCAAAGGGAAUGCAGAGCAUACAGCGAAAAGUCAACGCUGAUACCGCCUAAGUAAAAGGCGAAGCGCGAAAAGUCAACGCGAAUACCGCUGAAAGUAAAAGGCGAAGAAGCUCCUAAGGGAGGCUUACAGCGAAAAAUAAACGCUGAUUCCGCUGAAGUAAAAGGCGAAGAAGCUCCUAAGGGAGGCUUAUAAAAGAUGUGUUUUAUUGCAGGGAUGCGUAUGUAUCUUCGGAAUAAACGUCAUCUCACAUAACAUAACAUCAUCGCAUCAUUUCGCAUAGCAUAAGCAUCAUACAUCAUUUUGCACAUGGCACAAGAGGUGGACACAUUAUUAAUCUACAGAAGAACGCUUUGAAAAAAGGGAGAAAUCAAAGUCACAAAAAGAUACAUCAUUGAUCUUCGGAAGUGUAUCUUCGGAAGUGUAGCUUCGGAAAAUAUCUUCACGAAGCCUGGAUAUUAAUCAUCAGAACAUUGGAUAUUGUUGUGACAAAGAAAAAUUCUUCUUCACGAAGCAUGAAAAGAAGGGAAGGUGUUUUUUCGUCAAAGACUCAAAAGUGGUACGUGUAAAGUUUCAUGCAUCGUAAAGAAUUGACUAACAAAAAUAGGUAUAUUACAUUUGGGGUUACAAAAUGUUACAGUAUAUUACAUUUCAGAAAGUUUUCACAAAAAUACUUAAUCUUCUCUCAAAACGACUUCUGCAGCCUCGUUCAGGAGCCGAUUGACGACUUCGUCCAUAAUAUCUUCAGCCAUCUUUUUAAUUUCGUCGUCUCCUUUCGGCUGAGGGCCCGAAGACGCUUUAGCACGAUCUGAAGUAAGACAGCAUGCGGCUACAUUGCUAUUACAAAUCGCAAACAAAUCUUAAAGCCUAAGAUUACAACACGAUAAAAACUAUUAGUUAAUACCUAAUUGACCUUCGGCCUCUGCGCUCUUUUCAGCAGCCUCAGCCACUUCUCUAGCAUCGUGAAUGCCCUUUUCACUUCUUCGAAUAAUUUCUCCGGCCAUUUCUCAGCCACCAUUAUCCCAGAUAUCGGUAAAACAUUUUCCACCAAUUAUACUAGCUUCGGCCGAAGGAUCUCUUGCAUCUUCAAAGGGCAAAGCAGCUUCGGAUUGUGCUAAAAUUUUUACAUGUUCGCAGCCCUUCUUCUCUAAGAUGGUGGCAAUCCCUCUGGCACCAGAGAAGGCACAUAUAUCUCCUCGGCUAUUUAAAAUUUCUUCGAAGGCUUCAGCUUCGUGGUCGAUCCAUUCGAUGACACCUUCGGGAUUGCUUCUCGAAAAGUUUUCCUCACUUGAGAAUGCGCCGACCUUGGCGAAGCUAGCCUUUAGCUUCUUAACACAAUCUAUAGAUUUAUUAUAGCAUCUCUUUUUGGACGAACGAAGCUCUUCAACAGUCACUUCUAGGUGAUCUGCCCAUUGAUCGCUGAGUUCACGCUUUGUUUCUUCAAGUAUGCGUUCUUCCUUGGCUCUGGCCAGUUGUUUCCGAAGAUCUUCAAUUUCGCGCUUCUGAGCUUCAGCUUGACCUUUAAAAGCAGCUUCGUCUUCCUUUAUUUUAUUUAUCAAUGAGUAUAAUAUUUUAUCUUUUUCGAGACCUUCGUUCCUCAGUUCAAUUACUUCGGAACGAAGGUUGCUCAGGGCUAUAGUACACCCUUCGUCUUCAGCAUCUUUCUGUGCCCUGAGGGCAUUGCUAAGUAUCAGGCCCUGCAAAGAGAAAUAUGUGUGCGUCAAUAGGUUUAAACAAACGAAAAAUACAAGGAUUUCAUUUCUCGCACCUUUAAGCUAUUGUAAGCCAGGCUGUCGGCCAGAUCGUUCUUCGACAGCACCGAGAGCCCGUCUUCUAAAGUUGGGAAUCCGAAGCUCUUGCUCAUCUCCCGACAGACAGAAAUUUCCUUGCUAUCGGGGAGACAAUACAAGAAGUCUUCUUCUCCACUGCCAUUGAAUAUUAACGCCCCCUUUGGAUAUUUCAGUUUUUGGGCGUAGUGCUGGGCCUCUUGCUCUUCUUUUUCUGAUAGUUUUUUCCCCGAAGCAUGGCGAACAAUAUAAUCACGAACUUUGGGGGAUGCUUCGGGGGCAAUGGCACCGGUUUCUUCAACAAAAGUUGGCUUUGUUAUUUUUUCUGCCUCACUUUCCAAGGAUUUUAUCUUUGCAGGCUCUGAGGGCCCAGCUUCGGCUUUAGUCUCUUGCCCUGAAGCUUUAGAUCCAGAAAUUUCAGUUGUUUCAGGAAUGACAGCAGCCCUCUUCGGAGGUGUGCUUGAAGAUUUGAUCGUUUCCAGUACAUCUAGCACAUUAGCCAUUCUCUUUCUUUUCGGAGUCACUGCUGGCACUUUCACUAUCUCAAUGUUUGCUGCAGGACUCAAAACUUCUGAUGUUUUGGAUCCCUCAGUUGAUUCUUUUACCUUUUCCAUUUUUUCUGUGGACGGCGCUUCGGCUUUCUCUUUCGUUUCUGAUAACAAAAUUUUUGAUUGUUCCAAUUCUAUCUUUGUUGGCACUUCGGCCGUUUCUGCGACUUCUGGCAGCAAGGUUGGCUCGGUUGGUUUUUCAGCUUCGGUGGCCGAAGAAGUUUCUCCGGUAAACUCAGGCACCGAAGCUGGUUCAAUAUAGCGCGGCCGAUGCGUAAGGACCUUUAUCUUCUUUCUUUUCGGUUCUGGCUCGCUAGGAGCAGUUGCAGCUUCUUCUUUUGCAGAGGUUGUGUUUUUUCUCUUCUGCCUUCGAAUGGGAUAGCAAUAGUCAGGGUAGACAAACCCGAUUGCAUCAAAUACCCGAUUCAGCCUCUUCUUUUUUCGGCCUCCGAAGGCUGCUGACAUUGCAGUAUCUUCGGCCUUCGAAUAGGUCCCAAGCAGCUCAUCACUUAAAUUUUCAAUGCUUUUUAACCAGUCAUCAUCUGGUUCAACGAAUUUAUCUCCAAACUUAAAAGUGUACUUCAACCUGAUAAGUCCACCUUCGUCGGCCUCUUUUAUGGUUUCUUGUGGCAUUUCCCAUUUCUCCGCAAGUGGCCAUACCCUGAAGGCGAUAUGCUCUUGUACUAAGUCCCUCGUUCCAAUAAAAGAACAGAUAACACCGAAGGCCCUCUGGCAUUCUUCGGCAGCCUCACUCAUUUCAACCUUCGGCCUCCGAAGGCCGAAGCUUUGCCAAAUAGGGCGCAUAAUUAUACCUUUGAUAUCUUCUCGCGCUGUCAGAUCAUUCUUCACAUAAAACCAUUCUGUCAUCCAGUCGCCGGGCCAUCUCUUCCGAAAGGUCGGCACGGGACAGCUUGACCCGGACCGAGAAACGAAAUUGUAGCAGCCAAAAUUAUUGUGAUACUGUUCCUUACCCCAAGGUUUUGUUUCGUAUGAUAAUUCGUGUAUAUUGCAGAAACUUUUUGCAUCAGGCUUCAGACCUUGGCUUCUCACGGCCCACACGAAGAUAUUUAGCCUUAUAAUUGCCUCAGGGGUAAGUUGAUGGAGAUAGACUUCGAAUAUUUUCAGUACCUCCACAACGAAGCUGCUCAAGGGAAAUCGCAGUCCAGCUUUCAAAAAGCUUCGGUACACUACGACUUCAUUCUCUUCAGGGUGUGGGCAAGUUUUUUCCCCUUCGUCGGCCCUCACAAUGGACAAAUCCCGGAAAUACCUUCCUCUCAUGUUGACAAGAUGAUUCUCUUUGAUAGUUGAUUUACCAUAAACUGAAUGGCUUGGUCGCCAGGGACGAUCUUCGGAGUCCUCACCACCACUGUCCACAUCAUAGCUGUCACUGUCACCAGUAUCUUCAGACAAACCUUCCAGAAUCUCCUUGGUAAUUUUUUCUGUAUUGGUCUUUGACAUCGCUAUAAGAAACCCCAAGUUUUUCUCUUCGUCAAGGCUCAGCUUCAUCUCAGCAACAGUCUUCUUAUCUUCAGACAUCUUCGGAGACGCUAAAAAACUAUUUUCAAAGCCGAAGCUUCAAAACUAAAAGCUUAGCAAAUCGCAGUGCACAAGAGCUAAAAAUUGAGUGAGCGGGAGUAGUUGGCCAGAAAGCGUGUCAAAUGAGUUUGCGGUAUGGCCGUAUUUAUACGCCAAGAGCGUUGAAAAUUCAAAGACCCCGCUUGUCAGUGAAUGUUGCUAUUCUAGCAAAGGGAAGGUGUUUUUUCGGACCUUCGGCGUAAAGCCUUCGUCCAUGUCGCAAUCUAAAUUCGUUAUUUUAAAACAAAUUAAUAUUGCGAGGGGCUACUGUUGGGGACCUUCGGCAUCCGAAGGUCCUCAAAAACGGGAUUUAACAGUAUUUCUGGAAGUAUAAUGUGUGAGCAGGUACCUUCGGACUCAAGUCGGUAUCACGGCAGGAGAAGACCCGGAUAAUACGAAGGUCUUGAUACAACGCCGAAGAUGUUAGCAGGAAAGCUUCGGCAUGGUUGCAGAAAAUAAAACCGACUUAAAGAUGAAAAGGCUAUUCAGACCUCGAUAGAUUAUAUAGAAUUAUUAUCAAAUGUAAAGGGCAUGAAUGUAAUUUUGUAUGGGCUGUGUCCCGUGCCUAUAAAUAGGUGAACAGAACCCCCGUACUGUUCACGCUGACUUGGCAUUCGCUUUUUGCGUCACGCUUGUACUGUCAUCUCCUUCCGAUUGAAGGUACACUUGUAAUUCAACGAUAUUUCUAUUUAUGUCUGAUAAUAAUAUAUAAUUGUUCAUAUUGUCUUUUAUAUUCUUUACAUUUCAUUCUUCGUCAUUGCUUAAUGAAUUUAUGAAGGUACGUCCUUCAUAACCUUCGUCCGUAAACCAUUAUAUCCUAAGGGAAAUAAUGUUUCGGAGGGCGAAGGACUUUAACGAUUAACAUUUUCUAUGUUGCCUUGUUCUUAACUCAUAGCACUUGAGAACAAGUCCCCAACACUGUGCCUCAUACAUGCUCUUUGGUAGAACGUGAUCCUCCGGAAGCAGGCUACCAAUAACUGUCAACAAGCAAUCGAAUGCGUCUUGACUCAUGUUAUACUGCGACUUGAACGCUAUUACAUGCCCAAUGGCAUCCAGUUGAGAAACCUUUGUCUGGCUGUGAAGGGGCUUCUGUGCCACGUCAAACAUGUCGUAGAACGCCUUUGCAAUCGGCUCUAGCUCGUCCUCCAUACAUCCUCCGACGAACUAUGCCUCAUGAUAGUCGUUCAACAUAUCUGCUACCCCCGCAUCAGCAUCAUAAUCCUCGACGUGUUGUCUCUGAAAGGGAAAUAAGCUUACACCUUUUCCUAAAUGAUUUUGGUGGUUGAAUUGCCCAACACAAAUAAUUGGACUAACUAGUUUGCUCUAGGUUAUAAGUUCUAUAGGUGCCAAAGGUUCAACACAUACCAAUAAAAAGUCCAAGAAAGGGUUCAAAUAAAAAGAGCAAAAGACAACCGAAGGCUGCCCUGGUCUGGCGCACUGGACUGUCCGAUGUGCCACCGGACAGUGUCCGGUGCACCAGAGAGAUUCACUCCAAACUUGCCACCUUCGGGAAUUUGGGAAGCCACUCCGCUAUAAUUCACCGGACUGUCCGGUGUGCCAAGCGGAGCAACGGUCGCCAACGCAAUGGUCGAGUUCAACGGUCGGCUGACAACGCUACAGUGCGCGGACUACGCGCGUAGAAGUCAGAGAAGGCGCAGAUGGCGCACCGGACAGUGAAGAGGACCUGUCUGGUGCACCAUCGGACUGUCCGGUGGCCCACAUGUCAGAAACUCCAACGGUCGAACCCUAACGGUUGGGUGACGUGGCUGGCGCACCGGACAGUGUCCGGUGGCGCACCGGACUGUCCGGUGCGCCCAUCGACAGCAGAGUUCCCCAACGACCACUUUGGUGGUUGGGGCUAUAAAUACCCCCCAACCACCACACUUCGAUGCAUCCAAGUUUUCAGCCAUCAAACCUCAUACAAGAGCUCUAGACUUCAUUCCAAGACACAAACAAAGAGAUCAAAUCCUCUCCCAAGUCUGGAAUCACUCCAAACAAAUUAGUGACUAGAGAGAGAGAGACUUUUGUGUUCUUUUAAGCUCUUGUGCUUGGAUCGCUUUUCUUCUUCCUCCUUUCUUGUUCUCAACUCAAUUGUAAUCAAAGCAAGAGACACCAAGUUGUGGUGGUCCUUGUAGUGGACUAAGUGUCCCGUUUGAUUGAAGAGAAAAGCUCACUCGGUCUAGGUGACCGUUUGAGAGAGGGAAAGGGUUGAAAGAGACCCGAUCUUUGUGACCACCUCAACGGGGAGUAGGUUUGCAAGAACCGAACCUCGGUAAAACAAAUCACCGUGUUCAUCUGUUUUAUUUCUUUGUUGAUUUGUUUUCCCUUUCUUUCGGACUUGAUUAUAUUUCUAACGCUAACCCUUGCUUGUAGUUGUGCUUAAACUUUAUAAAUUUCAGAUUUGCCUAUUCACCCCCCUCUAGGCGACUUUCAAUUGGUAUCAGAGCCCGGUACUUCAUUAGAGCCUAACCACUCGAUGUCAUGUCGGGAGCUCACGCCAAGAAGGAGAUGGUGACCGGCGAGAAGCCCGCCACAAGCCACGGGAAGGCUCCAUCGGGAGAGUCCGGCAACAAAAGGGAGGAAUCACCUCCCCACGUCAAGUCGCACCGGAGUGGUGACCAGAAGAAGAAAAUGAAGAAAGUGUUCUACUGUGAGACCGAUUCUUCGUCGCCAUCCACCUCCACGUCCGACGCGCCGUCCGUCACUUCUAAGCGCCAUGAGCGCAAGAAGUUUAGUAAGAUCUCCUUACGCUAUCCUCGUAUUUCCAAAUGCACUCCUUUACUUUCCGUCCCACUAGGCAAACCACCGGUUUUUGACGGUGAACAUUAUUGUAUGUGGAGUGAUAAAAUGAGGCACCAUCUAACCUCACUCCACGCUAGUAUUUGGGACAUUGUUGAGUUUGGUGCGCAGGAACCAUCCGUGGGGGAUGAAGGCUAUGAUUCGGAUGAGGUAGCCCAAAUCCAGCACUUCAACUCCCAAGCCACCACUAUACUCCUCGCCUCUCUAAGUCGAGAGGAGUAUAAUAAGGUGCAAGGGUUGAAGAGCGCCAAAGAGAUUUGGGACGUACUAAAGACCACACACGAAGGAGACGAGGUGACCAAGAUCACCAAGAGCGAAACGAUCGAGGGGGAGCUCGGUCGCUUCAUGCUUCAUCAAGGGGAGGAGCCACAAGCAAUGUACAACCGGCUCUAGACCUUGGUGAACCAAGUGCGCAACCUCAGGAGCACCAAAUGGGAUGACCAUGAAAUGGUCAAGGUUAUUCUAAGAUCACUUAUAUUUCUUAAUCCUACACAAGUUCAAUUAAUUCGUGGUGAUCCUAGAUACAAGAUAAUGUCUCCCGAGGAGGUUAUAGGAAAAUUUGUGAGCUUUGAAUUGAUGAUCAAAGGCUCCAAGAAAAUCAUCGAGCAAGGCGCCUCCUCCACACCCGAAAUGCAACUCGUCGCAUUCAAGGCAACAGAGGAGAAGAAAGAAGAGUCUACUUCAAGUAGACUUCCCAUCGACGCCUCCAAGCUCGACAACGAGGAAAUGGCGCUCAUCAUCAGGAGCUUUCGCCAAAUCCUCAAGCAAAGGAGGGGGAAGGACUACAAGCCCCGCUCCAAGAAAGUUUGCUACAAGUGUGGUAAGCCCGGACAUUUCAUUGCUAAAUGUCCAUUAUCAAGUGAUAGUGACAGGGGCGAUGACAAGAAGGGGAGAAGGAAGGAGAAGAAGAAAUAUUACAAGAAGAAGGGCGGCGAUGCCCAUGUAUGCCACGAGUGGGACUCCGAUGAGAGCUCCACCGACUCCUCCUCCGACGAGAACGCCGCAAACAUCGCCAUCAACAAGGGUCUUCUCCUUCCCAACGUCGAUCACAAGUGCCUCAUGGCAAAGGACGACAAAAAGAAGAAGGUAAAAUCUAGAGCUUCCACUAAAUAUGCAACAUCUAGUGAUGAGGCUAGCUCUAGUGAUGAUGAGGAUGAUUUGAUCACCCUUUUUGCCAACUUAAACAUUCAACAAAAAGACAAAUUGAAUGAAUCGAUUAGUGUUAUUCAUGAGAAGGAUGAACUCUUGGAUAGCCAAGAGGACUUCCUUAUUAAAGAAAAUAAGAAGCAUGUUAAAGUUAAAAAUGCUUAUGCUCAGGAGAUAGAAAAAUGUGAAAAAUUAACUAGUGAUCUAAGCACUUGCCAUGACACUAUUUUCAACCUUAGAUUUGAAAAUGACAAAUUGAUUGCUAAGGUUGAGAAAUUAAAUGUUAGUGAUGAUUCUCUUGUCAACCUUAGAAAUGAUAAUGCUAAUUUGAUUGCUAAGGUUGACAAAUUGAAUGCAUCUCUCUCUAGCCUUAAAAUUGAGAAUGAAAAAUUAAUUGCUAAGGCUAAAGAUUUAAAUGUUUGCAAUGUUUCUAUUUCCAAUCUUAGAGAUGAGAACACUAUUUUACAUGCUAAGAUUGUUGAAUUAAAUACUUGCAAACCCUCAACAUCUACCGUUGAACAUGUUACUAUUUGCACUAGAUGUAGAGAUGUUAAUAUUGAUGCUAUUCAUGAUCACAUUGCUAUGAUUAAACAACAAAAUGAUCAUAUAGCAAAAUUAGAUGCUAAAAUUGCCGAGCAUGAAUUAGAGAAUGAAAAAUUUAAAUUUGCUCGUAAUAUGCUUUAUGGUGGGAGACGCCCUGGCAUUAAGGAUGGCAUUGGCUUCCAACAGGGAGGCGAUGUCAAACUCAAUGCCCCUAAGAAAUUGUCCAACUUUGUUAAGGGCAAGGCUCCCAUGGUUUAGGAUAACGAGGGUUACAUUUUAUACCCUGACGGUUAUCCCGAACAUAAAAUUAGGAGAAUUCACUCUAGGAAGUCUCACUCUGGCUCUCAUCAUGCUUUUAUGAAUAAGAGUGAGGCAUCUAGUUCUAGGAAAUCCACCCAUGCUAAAUUGCCUAAGAAGAAAACUCCUAUAGCAUCAAACGAACCUAAUUUUUCAUUUAAGACUUUUGAUGCUUCUUAUGUGCUCACUAACAAAUCAGGCAAAAUAGUUGCCAAAUAUGUUGGGGCUAAACACAAGGGAUCAAAGACUUGUGUUUGGGUACCCAAGGUGCUUGUUUCUAAUGUGAAAGGACCCAAGACCAUUUGGGUACCUAAGAACAAGGCCUAAACUUGUUUUGUAGGUUUAUGCAUGCGGGGGCUCAAGUUUGAUCAUCGAUAGCGGGUGCACAAACCACAUGACUGGGGAGAAAAUAAUGUUCUCCUCCUAUGAGAAAAAUCAUGAUCCCCAAAGAGCUAUCACAUUCGGGGAUGGAAAUCAAGGUUUGGUCAAAGGACUUGGUAAAAUUGCUAUAUCCCCUGACCAUUCUAUUUCCAAUGUUUUUCUUGUAGAUUCUUUAGAUUACAACUUGCUUUCUGUUUCUCAAUUAUGCAAAAUGGGUUACAACUGUCUUUUUACGGAUAUAGGUGUUACUGUCUUUAGAAGAAGUGAUGAUUCUGUAGCAUUUAAGGGAGUGUUAGAGGGUUAGCUAUACUUAGUUGAUUUUAAUAGAGCUGAACUCGACACUUGCUUAAUUGCUAAGACUAACAUGGGUUGGCUCUGGCAUCGCCGACUUGCCCACGUUUAAAUGAAGAAUCUCCACAAACUUCUAAAGGGAGAACACAUUUUGGGACUAACAAAUGUUCAUUUUGAGAAAGACAGGGUUUGUAGCGCAUGUCAAGCAGGGGAAGCAAGUUGGUGUUCAUCAUCCACACAAGAACAUAAUGACGACCGACAGACCGCUUGAGCUACUCCACAUGGACCUAUUCGGCCCGAUAGCUUAUAUAAGCAUCAACGGGAGUAAGUAUUGUCUUGUAAUUGUGGAUGAUUAUUCUCGCUUCACUUGGGUGUUAUUUUUGCAGGAAAAAUCUCAAACCCAAGAGACCUUAAAGGGAUUCUUGAGAUGGGCUCAAAAUGAGUUCGGCUUAAGGAUCAAAAAGAUAAGAAGCGACAACGGGACGGAGUUCAAGAACUCUCAAAUAGAAGGCUUCCUUGAGGAUGAGGGCAUCAAGCAUGAGUUCUCUUCUCCCUACACACCACAACAAAAUGGUGUAGUGGAGAGGAAGAAUAGAACUCUACUUGACAUGGCGAGGACCAUGCUUGAUGAGUACAAGACUUCGGACCGGUUUUGGGCGGAAGCAGUCAACACCGCUUGCUACGCCAUCAACCGUCUCUACCUUUGCCGAAUACUCAAGAAGACAUCGUAUGAACUACUCACCGGUAAAAAGCCCAAUGUUUCAUAUUUUAGAGUCUUUGGUAGCAAAUGCUUUAUUCUUGUUAAAAGAGGUAGAAAAUCUAAAUUUGCUCCUAAGGCUGUAGAAGGCUUUUUACUUGGUUAUGAUUCAAACACAAGGGCAUAUAGAGUCUUUAACAAGUCCUCUGGACUAGUUGAGGUUACUUGUGACAUUGUGUUUGAUGAGACUAACGGCUCUCAAGUAGAGCAAGUUGAUCUUGAUGAGCUAGAUGAUGAAGAGGCUCCAUGCGUCGCGCUAAGGAACAUGUCCAUUGGGGAUGUGUGUCCUAAGGAAUCCGAAGAGCCUCCACAAGCACAAGAUCAACCAUCUUCCUCCAUGCAAGCAUCUCCACCAACUCAAGAUGAGGAUCAAGCUCAAGAGGAUGAAAAUGAAGAUCAAGAAGAUGAGCCACCUCAAGAGGAGGGCAAUGAUCAAGGGGGAGAUGCCAAUGAUCAAGACAAGGAAGAUGACGACAGUCCAAGACCACCACACCCAAGAGUCCACCAAGCAAUACAAAGAGAUCACCCCGUGAACUCCAUCCUCGGCGAUAUUCAUAAGGGGGUAACCACUCGAUCUCGUGUUGCUCAUUUUUGUGAACAUUACACCUUUGUAUCUUCUAUUGAGCCAUAUAGGGUGGAAGACACAUUAAGGGAUUCAGAUUGGGUGUUGGCGAUGCAAGAGGAACUCAACAACUUCACGAGGAAUGAGGUAUGACAUUUAGUUCCACGCCCUAAUCAAAAUGUUGUAGGAACCAAGUGGGUCUUCCGCAACAAGCAAGAUGAGCAUGGUGUGGUGACAAGGAACAAAGCCCGACUUGUGGCCAAGGGAUAAUCACAAGUCGAAGGUUUGGAUUUCGGUGAAACCUAUGCACCCGUAGCUAGGCUUGAGUCAAUUUGUAUAUUACUUGCCUAUGCUACUUACCAUGGCUUCAAGCUUUAUCAAAUGGACGUGAAAAGUGCCUUCCUCAAUGGACCAAUCAAGGAAGAAGUCUAUGUUGAGCAACCUCCCGACUUUGAAGAUAGUGAGUACCCUAACCAUGUGUAUAAACUCUCUAAGGCGCUUUAUGGGCUCAAGCAAGCCCCAAGAUCAUGGUAUGAAUGCCUAAGAGAUUUUCUUAUCGCUAAUGGCUUCAAAGUCGGAAAAGCCGAUCCUACUCUCUUUACUAAAACAAUUGCAAAUGAUUUGUUUGUAUGCCAAAUUUAUGUUGAUGAUAUUAUAUUUGGGUCUACUAACAAAUCUACAUUUGAAGAGUUUAGUAGAUAAUGGUACAAAAAUUCGAGAUGUCUAUGAUGGGGGAGUUGAAGUAUUUCUUAGGAUUUCAAGUGAAGCAACUCCAAGAGGGCAUCUUCAUCAGUCAAACGAAGUACAUUCAAGACAUACUCACCAAGUUUGGGAUGAAGGAUGCCAAGCCUAUCAAGACACCCAUGGGAACCAAUGGGCAUCUUGACCUCGACACGAGAGGUAAAUCCAUAGAUCAAAAGGUAUACCGGUCGAUGAUAGGAUCUUUACUCUAUUUAUGUGCAUCUCGACCGGAUAUUAUGCUUUUCAUAUGCAUGUGUGCAAGAUUCCAAGCCGAUCCUAAGGAAGUUCACCUUAGGGUCGUGAAAUGAAUCUUGAGAUAUUUAGUUCAUACUCCUAAGUUUGGCCUUUGGUACCCCAGGGGAUCCACAUUUGAUUUAAUAGGAUAUUUAGAUGCUGAUUGGGCAGGGUGUAAAAUUGAUAGAAAGAGCACAUCAGGGACUUGUUAGUUCUUGGGAAGAUCCCUGGUGUCAUAGGCUUCAAAGAAGCAAAAUUUUGUAUCUCUUUCUACCACCGAAGCCGAGUACAUUACCGCAGGCCAUUGUUGCGCGCAAUUGCUUUGGAUGAGGCAAACCCUUAGGGACUAUGGUUACAAAUUAACCAAAGUUCCGCUCCUAUGUGAUAAUGAGAGUGCAAUCCACAUGGUGGAUAAUCCCGUUGAGCACAACCGCACUAAGCACAUAGCCAUUCGGUAUCACUUUUUGAGGGAUCACCAACAAAAGGGGGAUAUCGAGAUUGUUUAUAUUAACACCAAAGAACAAUUAGCCGAUAUCUUUACCAAUGUUGGGGACUUGUUCUCAAAUGCUAUGAGUUAAGAACAAGGCAACACAAGAAAUGUUAAACGUUAAUGCCCUUCGUCCUUCGAGACAUUAUUUCCCUUAGGAUAUAAUGAUCUUCAGACGAAGGUCAUGAAGGACAUACCUUCAUCAUUGCAAUAUACGAUAAUAAAAGGAGAAUCAUAUAGAAUGUAAGAGACAACAUGAAUAAGUAUGUAAUAUUAUCAGCACAUUUCUAUUUUAUUAUCAUGGACAAAUAGAAAUGAUAUCAAAUUACAAAUGUACCUUCAGCUUGAUGGAAGGUAAAAGUACAAGUGUGACGCACGAUCAAAUACAAGUCAGCGUGAACAGUACGGGAGCACUGUUCAUCUAUUUAUAGGCACGGGACACAGCCCAUGUAAAAUUACACCCAUGCCUUUUACAUUUGCUAAUGACUCUAUAGUGAUCCAUCGAGGUCUAAAUGACCUUUUCCCUUUUAAGUCGGUUCCCUUUUCCGCUGUUAUGCCAAAGCUCCCUUGCGCGUAGCUUCGGCGCUACGUCAACCUUCGUAUUCUUUGUGCUUCUCACACUGUGGUUCUGAUCCGAGUCCGAAGGUACCUGUUCAUGUAUCAUACUCCAGAAAUAAUGUUAAAUCAUGUUUUUGAAGACCUUCGGAAGACGAAGGCCCCCAACAGUAGCCCCUCGCAAUAUUAAUUUGUUAGAAUAACGAAUUCAAAUUGCGAUAUGGACGAAGGCCUUAAGCCAAAAUUCUGAAAAAACACCUUCCCUUUGCUAGAAUAGCAACAGUCGAUGACAGACGGGGCCCUCCAAUUUGGAACGCACUGGGCGUAUAAAUAGGAACUCACCCCGAGCACAUUUGGUACGCUAUCUGCCGCCUGCUUUGCUUGCUCAAUUUUUUAGCUCUUGCCUACCAACGCUUGCUUGGUUUUUUAGACUUUCUAAGCUUCGGCUUUAAGGACACAUUUUCGCCAUUUCCGAAGAGAAGAUGUCUCAAGACAAAAAAGUUGUUGCUGAGACGAAGCUGAGCGAAGAGGAGAAGCUCCAUGAGGAGAAGACUGCUGGAUUUGUUGAAUCAAUAGCAAAGAAAAAUACAGAAAAGAUUACUAAGGAGAUUCUAGAAGGCUUAUCUGAAGAUACUGAUGACAGCGACAGUUAUGAUGCGGAAAGCGGAGGCGAAGACUCCGAAGAUCGGCCCUGGCGACCAAGCAUGCAGUCUUCGGGAAAUCAACCAUCAAACAGAGUCAUCUUGAUAAUAUGAGAGGAAGGUAUUUUCGAUAUUAUUUUUUUGUUCUUAUAUUAACCCAUUCAUUCUUUUCAUAUAGGGUUUAAUACUUAGCAACGCCUUAAGGGCGCAAAAGAAUGUCGAAGACGAGAGUUGCACUAUUGCUCUCAACAACCUUCAAACAGAGGUUAUCAAGCUGAGGAACGAAGCUUUGGAAAAAGAAAAAAUUCUACUUACAUUGGUGGACAAAGUAAAGGGGGAUGAAGCUAACUUCAAGGCUCAAUCUGAAAUCCAAAGGAAUGAGAUUGAAAACCUUCAAAAACAACUGGCCGAAGCCAAAUUGAAAUGCGCUAUUGCCGAAGCUGACCGAGUUGCCAGUGAGUACUAGAAAAAUUAUCUUGAAAAACAGUUGCAGAGCUUCGCUCAUCAAAAGAAAGAUGUUUUGAAAAAUCUGUGGAAUGCGUGAAAAAGAUAAAAACUAGCUUUGCCAACGUUGGCGCAUAUUCAAGCGAAGAUAACUUCAUACGGGGCGACCCCGAAGGCGUAAUCGAGUGGAUCAGCGGUGAGGCCGAAGCCUUUGAAGAGAUUUUGAGUGACCGCGGGGACGUCUGUGCCUUCUCUGGUGCGAGAGGAAUUGCAGCUAUUUUGGAGAAAGCAGGGUGCGAACAUGUUAAAACUUUGGCCCAGGCCGAAGCUGCCUUCUCCACCGAUGAUAUAAAGGACCCCUCGGCCGAAGCAAACUCAAUAGGUGGAAAAAAUUUCACUGAUAUCUGGGAAAACGGUGGCCGAGGGAUGGCCCAUGAAAUUAUAAAGAAAAACGAAAAAGAUAUUCACGACACUCGAGAGUCAAUAAAAGAAGCUGAAAAGGCUGCGGAGCUUGAGAGACGAAUAUGUAUUACUUAAUGGUUUUUAACUUUGUUGUUUAUUUUUGUGACUUUGAACUGAUUUAUGUUUUCUACCUUAGCUGAACUAUCUCCUCCCCCAGCGCCCUUAGAGUCAUUGGCCGACCCAGAGGCAAAGGAAUCAACAGAACUUAUUAACAUGGCCGAAACUAUUGUAGACGAAGUCGUUACCCAACUGCUGACCGAAUUUGCACAUAAAGUUUUGAAGGAAGAAGAGUAGCUAUUGUAAAAACAUUGCUAGAAUAUUAAUGUAACAUUUGCCGGACUAUGCUUGUAAUAUUUGGUGCUCCUAGGUUUUGAAUGUAAUAUAUGAAUGGUUUUGUAAUUCAUUUCUUUGCGAUGCAUGAAACUUUUAUGUACAUACCGUUUUUGAGCCUUCGGCGAAAAAACACCUUCCCUUCUUUUCAUGUUCGUAAAGAAGAGCUUUUAUGCUUCGUAAAAAAUCCUCCAAUCGUCGCAAAAACAUUAAUGCUUCGUCAACAACAGAUUUUUCCUCCACAUCAGAGCUGAUGAAGCUGUAUUUCUUCAAAACUUAUUUUGUGCCUUAGCACAAUUUCACUUUUUUCGAAGCAUUCUUCGAAGGUCAACAUUGUAUCCCCUUCUUGUGCCAUUGAUGCAAUAUGAUGUAUGAUGUUAUGUUAUGUGAAAUGAUGUGAUGAUGUUAUGUUAUGCAAAAUGAUGUUUAUGCCGAAGACACACACUCACACCCCCAUAGUGGAAUACACAAUCUCUUUGCCGCUUAUUUUUCGGCUUCACCGCUUAUUUUUCGGUGUAUCAGCGCUGACUUUUCACUGUAAGUUCUGCAUUCCCUUAGGAACGUCUUUUGAACUUCUUCACCUUCUAUUUCGGCGGUAUUCGCGUUGACUUUUCGCGCUUCGCCUUAUAUUUCGGCGGUAUUUGGCUCUGCAUUCCCUUUGGAAUGACUUUUGAGCAGAAAACUUACACUGCGCUCCCUUAGGAACGACUUUUUGUAGCUUCGGCAAACUUACGCUGCGUUCCUUAGAACGACUUUUUUGUGGCUUCGGUGAUACUUGUAAUGUGAUUUUUAGCCCCGCGUUCCCUUAGGAACGACUUUUGUGCUUCAGUGACUUUUUGAACUUCGUGAGUCUGUGGAGAAGAUAUAUUUCACUAUGGCAAGAACGAAGUUAUUACAAGAAAUCAAGAGAGCUAGGUUUUCAAUAAUUGUUCCUUAUUAAAAAGGAAGUGAUAAUGAAUGUAAAAACUGCUUCAGGGGUAGGAUAUCUCUCAAUAGAUAUGCUUCGAUUCUAGCACAGUACUGUUGGCUGUGCGAGCUUCGGACUCCUCCCUGAAAUCUCGUUGCUGAUGGGUCUGUUGGCUCCCUUCUGGCUGCUGGCCUCGUGAAUAUGCAGGUUGUAGUGGUGGCAGAGGUGGAGGCUGUGGCCAAGAUGCAUGUGGCUGGCUAGCCGAAGCAACAGAAGCUGCAGGAUGGUUACCCACAUACUCUGGUAUGUAGGGUGAGUGAUACGAAGCAGUGUGCAUGACCUGCUUCGGCUGGUUCUGCUGAGCUGCGGCUUCUGCUAAUUCCUUUUGUUUCUGAAUGGUGACAUGGCACAUCCUUGUAGUAUGGCCCUUGUCCUCACCACAGAAUAAGCAAUUUUCCUAGGUUGAUCCCCAAACCUUCCUCCGAAGCCCCUGGCACCUCUGCCUCUUGGAGUUGGCGGCCGAAAAUAGGUUUGUUGCUGCCCCGAAACUUGCGAGGAAUAUUGUGGCUUCUGUUGCUGACUUCCUCUGUCGUCAUUCUGGGUGGAGUGGAUUGAUCUGACAUGCCUUGGGUGGAUUCUUCCUCCGAAGCCCCUGGUCAUCUCAGAGAACCUGUAGGCUUCCUCCCUUCUUUGGCGAAAGUCAUUGUCAGCCCGGAUGUAUUCAUCCAUCUUUUGAAGCAGCUUCUCCAAAGUCUGUGGAGGCUUUCUAGCAAAAUACUGGGCAGUAGGUCCUGGAUGAAGCCCCUUGAUCAUGGCCUCAAUGACAAUUUCAUUGGGCACAGUAGGCACUUGUGCUCUCAGACGCAAGAACCUUCAGACGUAUGCCUGGAGAUACUCCUCAUGAUCUUGCGUGCAUUGAAACAGAGCCUGAGCUGUGACUGGCUUCGUCUGAAAGCCCUGGAAACUUGUCACCAGCAUGUCCUUGAGCUUCUGCCAUGAAGUGAUGGUCCCUGGCCGAAGAGAAGAAUACCACGUUUGAGCCACAUUCUUAACUGCCAUGACGAAGGACUUGGCCAUGACAGCUGCAUUGCCUCCGUAUGAAGAUAUAGUUGCUUCAUAACUCAUCAAAAACUGCUUCGGGUCUGAAUGCCCAUCAUACAUUGGAAGCUGAGGUGGCUUGUAUGAUGGGGGCCACGGGAUAGCCUGCAGUUCUGCUGCCAAGGGAGAAGCAUCAUCAAAAGUAAAGGUAUCAUGAUUAAAAUCAUCAUACCAUCCAUCGUCGUUGAACAAGCCCUCUUGAUGAAGCUCCCUGUGUUGGGGCCUUCGAUCUUGCUCGUCUUGAGCAAGGUGGCGUACUUCUUCAGUGGCUUCGUCAAUCUGCCUUUGAAGGUCAGCUUGUCGGGCCAUCUUCUCCUUCUUCUUUUGCACUUGCUGAUGAAGCAUCUCCAUGUUUCUGAUUUCUUGGUCCAACUCGUCCACCUGGGGUGUUGGACUAGUGGCCUUCCUCUUCUGGCUUCGGGCCUCUCGAAGAGAAAGGGUCUCCUGAUUUGGGUCCAGUGGCUGCAGAGCGGCAGCCCCUAGCGCUGAAACUUUCUUCGGUGGCAUGACGAAGGUCAAUGCUUGCCGAAGGUGGUCGAAAAGAGUUCACCCCACGGUGGGCGCCAAUGUUGGGGACUUGUUCUCAAAUGCUAUGAGUUAGGAACAAGGCAACAUAAGAAAUGUUAAACGUUAAUGCCCUUCGUCCUUCGAGACAUUAUUUCCCUUAGGAUAUAAUGAUCUUCAGACGAAGGUCAUGAAGGACAUACCUUCAUCAUUGCAAUAUACGAUAAUAAAAGGAGAAUCAUAUAGAAUGUAAGAGACAACAUGAAUAAGUAUGUAAUAUUAUCAGCACAUUUCUAUUUUAUUAUCAUGGACAAAUAGAAAUGAUAUCAAAUUACAAAUGUACCUUCAGCUUGAUGGAAGGUAAAAGUACAAGUGUGACACACGAUCAAAUACAAGUCAGCGUGAACAGUACGGGAGCACUGUUCAUCUAUUUAUAGGCACGGGACACAGCCCAUGUAAAAUUACACCCAUGCCCUUUACAUUUGCUAAUGACUCUAUAGUGAUCCAUCGAGGUCUAAAUGGCCUUUUCCCUUUUAAGUCAGUUCCCUUUUCCGCUGUUAUGCCGAAGCUCCCUUGUGCGUAGCUUCAGCGCUACGUCAACCUUCGUAUUCUUUGUGCUUCUCACACUGUGGUUCUGAUCCGAGUCCGAAGGUACCUGUUCAUGUAUCAUACUCCAGAAACAUUGUUAAAUCAUGUUUUUGAGGACCUUCGGAAGACGAAGGCCCCCGACAACCAAGCCACUAGAUGAGAAAACUUUUACCAAUCUUAGGCAUGAGCUAAACAUUCUAGAUUCUAGGAAUUUUGAUUGAUAUUUUGCACACAUAGCUUAUUUCAAUACCUUUGAUCAUAUCUCUUUCAUGUGCUAUGACUAAUGUGGUUUUCAAGUAUAUUUCAUGCUAAGUCAUAGAUUGAAAGGAAAAUGGAGUCUUCGGCGAAGAAAAGGCUUCCACUCCAUCGAAUUAUUCAUCCUUCGCCGACACUCCACAUCGCUCUCCAAUUUGGUAUAAUCUUCACUCCUACAUUAUUUACCAAAGGGGGAGAAAGUUUGAAAAAGGGCUUAUAUUUUCACUCACAAGUAUCCGUUUUUGGCGAUUCAUGCCAAAGGGGGAGAAAGUAUUAGCCCAAAGCAAAAGGACCGCACCACCACCAAUUUCAAAAAUGAAGUCUUUUAAAUUUGUACUAAAAGAAGGUUUUUCAAUUGGUAUCUUAUUUUUGAUAGAAUUUUCAAAUUGGUAUAACCCAUUUCAAAAUUAAUAUCUAAAACUCUCUUGAACAAUAAGAGGAGAAUUUCAUUAAGGGGGAGUUUUGUUUAGUCAAAGGAAAAGCAUUUGAAACAGGGGGAGAAAAUUUCAAAUCUUAAAAAUGCUUCUCAAAAUCUUACUCAUUUACCUUUGACUACUUGCAAAAAGACUUUGAAAAGAAUUUCCAAAAGAGUUUGCAAAAACAAAACAAGUGCUGCAAGCGUGGUCCAAAAUGUUAAAAUAGAAGAAAGCAUCCAUGCAUAUCUUAUAAAAUGUAUAUUGGUUUAAUUCCAAGUAACCUUUGCACUUUCAUUAUGCAAACUAGUUCAAUUCUGCAAUUAUAUAUUUGCUUUGGUUUGUGUUGGCAUCAAUCAUCAAAAAGGGGGAGAUUGAAAGGGAAAUAGGCUUACACCUUUUCCUAAAUGGUUUUGGUGGUUGAAUUGCCCAACGCAAAUAAUUGGACUAACUAGUUUGCUCUAGAUUAUAAGUUCUACAUGUGCCAGAGGUUCAACACAAACCAAUAAAAAGUCCAAGAAAGGGUUCAAAUAAAAAGAGCAAAAGACAACCGAAUGCUGCCCUGGUCUGGCGCACCGGACAGUGUCCGGUGCACCAGGGAGAUUCACUCCAAACUUGCCACCUUUGGGAAUUUGGGAAGCCACUCCGCUAUAAUUCACCGGACUGUCCGGUGUAGCACCGGACUGUCCAGUGUGCCAAGCGGAGCAACGGUCGUUAGCGCAACGGUCGAGUUGAACGGUCGGCUCACAACGCUACAGUGCGCGUACUGCGCGCGCAGAAGUUAGAGCAGGUGCAGAUGGCGCAUCGGACAGUGAACAGGACCUGUCCGGUGCACCACCGGACUAUCCGGUGGCCCACAUGUCAGAAGCUCCAACGGUCGAACCCUAACGGUUGGGUGACGUGGCUGGCGCACCGGACAGUGGCCGGUGGCGCACCGGACUGUCCGGUGCGCCCAUCGACAGUAGAGUUCCCCAACGGCCACUUUGGUGGUUGGGGCUAUAAAUACCCCCCAACCACCACACUUCAAUGCAUCCAAGUUUUCAGCCAUCAAACCUCAUACAAGAGCUCUAUACUUCAUUCCAAGACACAAACAAAGAGAUCAAAUCCUCUCCCAAGUCCGGAAUCACUUCAAACAAAUUAGUGACUAGAGAGAGAGACUUUUGUGUUCUUUUGAGCUCUUGCGCUUGGAUCGCUUUUCUUCUUCCUCCUUUCUUGUUCUCAACUCAAUUGUAAUCAAAGCAAGAGACACCAAGUUGUGGUGGUCCUUGUAGUGGACUAAGUGUCCUGUUUGAUUGAAGAGAAAAGCUCACUCAGUCUAGGUGACCGUUUGAGAGAGGGAAAGGGUUGAAAGAGACCCGGUCUUUGUGACCACCUCAACGGGGAGUAGGUUUGCAAGAACCGAACCUCGGUAAAACAAAUCAUCGUGUUCAUUCGUUUUAUUUCUUUGUUGAUUUGUUUUCCCUCUCUUUCGGACUCGAUUAUAUUUUUAACGCUAACCCCGACUUGUUGUUGUGCUUAAACUUUAUAAAUUUCAGAUUUGCCUAUUCACCCCCCCUUUAGGUGACUUUUAGUCUCAACACCUCCUCUCUCGUACGAUGCGCUUUACCAUGGAAGAUCCACCGAGUAUAGUCUGGCGUAAAUCUGAUCUUCCAAAUAUGUUCUACCAUGGCCUUCUUUGAUUUUCUUUUCCGGUUGGCACAUUUGCUGCACGGGCAUGGGACUAGACUCGCUCCUUUAGCAGCUUUGCCAUAUGCCCGUUCCACAAAAGCAUCGGUCUUUCUAAUCCAUUCAGGGGUGACAUCAUUCCUACUUACACGGCAUGUGUACAUCCACUCACGGUCUUCCAUCCUCUAACAUAUGUAACCGAGUAUAGUUUAAUAUAAACAUGUAAUGCAUGUACGCUAUGUUCCUACCUUAUAAUAGGUGAGUAUAGUUCUUAAUCUCACUCGCGGUUGCGUAGACGAAGUUAGUUUCCAUGCUCUACUUCGAUCCAAGACAGAGUUCCGGCAGCACCUCCCCGUUGUUCUCCGGAUACACGCCCUAGCAGGUAGAAUGUACUGUCCGGAGAUCAACAUGGAGGUGAAACCGAAACUCUGUCUCGGACCGGAGUAGAGCAUGGAAACUAAUACCAGGGCGACGGUGGAGUAGGGAUAGCGGGGCUGUGGCGGGUCGGUGCAGUGGCGACGUGUCGCAGUGCAGGUUCUAGUGUGGCGGCAAGGAAUACCUCUGCAAAAAAAAAUUAACACAAGUUUAUCAACAAAAAAAUCGGCAGGACUUCCCCUGCACGAGGAGGUUGCAAAAAACCAGCAAAUAAAACUAACAGCACGAUGGCUGACAUCCACACAUAUACUAGCAAAAAAUAGACUUGCGUGUGUUAUUUACAAUUGUGUUAGUUACACACAAUCUAUUGAUGCCAUAUUUGUUGUGUACUAGCGAUUGGCAAGAAGAAUCAACUUUUAGGCACUAAAACAUCUAGUGGGUUCAAAUUAAAGAACUUCUUCUAUUAAUUACAGAACCACCCCAUCGGCCGACCAGGAUCCAAAUUAAAGAACUUCUUCUUCUAUUAAUUAUAGUAUAUUAUAAUUACCAAGUCUCUUCUUAUAUUUACAUGUUCAUUUGCUUGCUUCUUGCAUAACAUAACGGCGAUCGAUGAUGACCAUCGUUAGUUUUAGUCCUACGUGUAUUUGAUUCAAUCCCUCCAUGUUCAUAGUAUAAAUUCAACCAAACCUAAAUAAGUUUCAGUCAGCUUGAUCUUAAAAUUGCAUCAUACACACACAUACAUAGUCUUACUAGAAGUAAGCAAUUUCUUUUAAACUAAUUUCCAGCCAACAUUGAUGAAUGAACUAGAAUGUGGCUAUAACCGAGACCUGUGUGGGUGGUGCUGGAGAUGGGGACGUUGGGCCGAGGCUCACCGGCGUCGAGGCCUGUCCGAAGAUGGCCGACCGCCAGGCCGGGGACGGGGCUCGUUGGAGAUGGCCGGGUCGAGCGACGGUGGGGACGUCGGAGGCAGGGAGGAUGGCCGGCACGGUGUCCGGAGCCGGAGGGGAUGACCGGAGAGGAGGAUGGUCGGCGCUUGCUCCGAUGGCGUUGGCGGCGAGUGGCGUUGGCGGAGGGGACGACUGGUUAGGGCUAUGUACACAGACUUUGCCGAGUGCCAUAUCACGGGCACUCGGCAAAGAUUUUUUUUAAAUUUAAAAAUAAACUUUGCCGAGUGUCACAGAUCACUGACAGGCACUUGGCAAAGAUUGUUUUAAUUUUUUUAAAAAAACUUUACAGAGUGUCCCACGGCAGGCACUCGACAAAGAAUGCUUUACUGACUGCCUUAUUUUGACACUCGACAAAGAAUUCUUUGCCAAGUGCCCGAUAAAAAGCACUUGGCAAAGCACCGAGCACUCGGCAAAGAGCCGGAUUCCGGUGUGGUUGUUUCAUGGAAGUUGUAAGUAGACCAUCUUAACAAGGUCAACAAUAGAAGUACAACUCACAACAUUAGAUACUGCCAAAGUUAAUGUUGAGAGGCUUCGUGAACUCCUUAUGGAUUUACUAGUAGUUGAAAAACCAAUACUGGUUAUCUAUAUGAGCUAUAAUAAUUAAACAUUGGUAAUCAAAGUGAACAAUUCUUAGGUUAACAUGAAGACUACAAAGCAUGUCAAGAACGGUUGAAACUGUUAAAACACUAAGAAACUCUAGAUUAAUUGUGUUGGACUAUGUCCAUACUUCUAAGAAUUUGGUAUGCCAGUUUAUAGAAGAUUUGUCACAUAAUGUGAUAGAUGGUGCAUCGAGAAAGAUGGACUUGAGACCCACUUAAUGCCAUUCCAUAGUAGUAGCAUUUUCUAUGUGAUUGGAGAUCUCAUGAAGUAAAAUGGUGAAAUAAGCUAGAGAAUGACUGAUGGAGAGACUCCUUAAAUAAAAUCUAGGUAAUUUCAUAUGAACAUUUCUCCUUCGAUGUACGAUAGGCUAACUAAAAUCUUAAUAUGAUUUGAGUGACAUAUCUAAGCAGGGAUGUUAUCUUAUAGAACAUCCUAUAAGGAACACACCUAUAUGACUUUGACUACUAAUCACAGUCUAUGAUAUGUGGGAAAUAUUUUUUUACUCAUGAAAGGCCUCGAAGUUUGACUUAUAUGCUUCAAACCAAUGGAUAACUGAUUGAAUCUGUUUCAGACAGCAGCAUAGUUAACUUCAAAAUUCUAUAUCUCCCAAACUUCUCAACCAAAAAUUAUUAAAUUAUGCUGACAGUAAGAACUUUUAUCCCUCUACAAAAGUCUCCAUAGUUGGAAGAGCCAAUUCGGCCAUUUACUAGAUGAAACCUACCAGUUAACAGACCCGCUCAUUUUUGUCAGGCAAACAAGAACCCUUAUAUAUCAAAGAGUAGUGGAUUUGAAUUUGUCUAAUAUGAAGUUUAUGGGCUUGGAUCAUUUAAAGUAUUUUAUAAUUCUGAAAGACAAGAUUAAACUAACUAUGUAUGAUCCUUUAGCACCGUACAGAUGGUCGAUGGGACAGUUACAUGGUUUAUAUAGAUGGACCUAUCUAUAUUCCUUCAGUGGUUGAGAACAAGGUAAAGGUGUGUCACACUCACGCGUGCGCCGCCUCCGCCGAGACGAGGCAUGGCGUUGCAGGGUGAGGCAUGGCAUGGUGCAGCACGAUCGCAGUCAUGGUCGUGGCACAGUGUAGCACUGUUGUGGAUAGAUAGAUAAACUAUUGUUGUAGUUAGAGUGCAUGAGUUUUUGAAUGCAACACUAGAAUUUUCACAAUUUAACUUAAUUAAGAAGUUAUAUCUUGAUGACACAGAGUUACCUGACCAUUGAUCUCACAUGCCCUUUUAGCUCUCUCGUACUCUAGACUUACCCUGACUAUUUAGGUCUCCUGACUCGCCAAUAUAAACACCAUCCUAUCAUUUGCUGUCGAAUACUUCUGUGUCACAACUCAACUGUCAGAUGAGUACUCCAUUACAGCACUGAGCAGGCCUCCGAAAUGAAUAUCUACUCAGAUGAAGGACGACAAUCGUGUUCUAGGGAAAUAUCAGCGACACAACUCCUUACUUCCUCCGCUUCUUCCUAGUGUUUUUUGUUGUGAUUGAGUCGACAUAGCAACAACACUGCACUAUUACAACCAGUACGACUAUAUCAACUAGCAAUGUCUUCCUUAUAUGUUACUAUUUAUUUUGCUCAUAUUCAUUAUGUUUAAAUCACAUAGGCGCCUUUAUGUUGGCAUCAAAAAAUCAGUAUCAACUUUAUAGAUUAAAAUGAAACUAAAAGUACCUAAAUUUCUAUCGGUGGGGAUCGAGUGAUUCUUUAAACCGAUUAUUACACAAGUUAACCACACUAAAAUUAACAAUGGUGAAUCGUGCCAUGAUUUUUUUCUAGUGGAAAAUAGCCAAACCAAGCAACACAUAUGUGGCUAUCGUUACACAUGUGUAAAGGUAUUGCAUCACACCAUUGUCACCCAUGUAUGUGGACAAUACCGAGAGGAAAAACCACUUAUUUAUUGUAUUUUAUCAAGUUUGUCUUGCUUACGUAUAAAUUAUAACCCAACAAAGUAAUCACUAAAUGUCAAAACCAACUAGAUACCAUGUCAUCUCUACCUUAUCUUACUAAUAUUCUUUUUGCAAAAUCCAAAAUUAAUCUUGCACAAGCACAAGGACUGAGAUGUGUAUAAAUAUCUCUUAAAUUAGUAGCUAAUAUAUCGCACAUAUUAUUGAGACCAACUAGCAACAUAGAAAGCACAAUAGUGUACCAACAAUGGCAGCCAAAAUAUUUUGCCUCCUUAUGCUCCUUGGUCUUUCUGCAAGUGCUGCUACGGCGACCAUUUUCCCGCAAUGCUCGCAAGCUCCUAUAGCUUCCCUUCUUCCCCCGUACCUCUCACCAGCGGUGUCUUCGGUAUGUGAAAACCCAAUUCUUCAACCCUACAGGAUCCAACAGGCAAUCGCAGCUGGCAUCUUACCUUUAUCACCCUUGUUCCUCCAACAAUCAUCAGCCCUAUUACAACAGUUACCUUUGGUGCAUUUAUUGGCACAAAACAUCAGGGCACAACAACUACAACAACUUGUGCUAGCAAACCUUGCUGCCUACUCUCAGCAACAGCAGUUUCUUCCAUUCAACCAACUAGGUUCAUUGAACUCUGCUUCUUAUUUGCAACAACAACAACUACCAUUCAGCCAGCUACCUGCUGCCUACCCCCAGCAAUUUCUUCCAUUCAACCAACUAGCAGCAUUGAACUCUCCUGCUUAUUUACAGCAGCAACAACUACUACCAUUCAGCCAGCUAGCUGGUGUGAGCCCUGCUACCUUCUUGACACAACCACAGUUGUUGCCGUUCUACCAGCACGUUGCGCCUAACGCUGGCACCCUCUUACAACUGCAACAAUUGCUGCCAUUCAACCAACUUGCUUUGACAAACCCAGCAGUGUUCUACCAACAACCCAUCAUUGGUGGUGCCCUCUUUUAGAUUUCUUAUGAGUUAUAGUUCAAUAAUAAAGUUUUUUAUCUGAUGUUUGUGGCUUCCCAGAAAUAAGAAAGUACAUUUCUAGAUUCUUAUGUGCUUCUAGUCUUCAAAUGUGGUUGAUAGUUAUUGUUGGGGACUUGUUCUCAAAUGCUAAGAGUUAAGAACAAGGCAACAUAAAAAUGUUAAAUGCUAAAGUCCUUCGUCCUUCGAAGCAUUAUUUCCCUUAGGAUAUAAUGAAUUUCGGACGAAGGCUAUGAAGGACAUACCUUCAUAAGCACAACGAAUGAUGAAGAAGAAUUCAUAUAAAUUAUGAGAUAUAACAUAAACAUUUAAACAUUAUUAUUAACUCAUUUCUAUUGACUUGUCAGGGAAAAAUAGAAAUGAUAAUAAAUUACAAAUAUACCUUCGGCUUGAGAGAAGGUAAAGGUACAAGCGUGAGGCAAAAGCAAAUGCCAAGUCAGCGUGAACAGUACGGGAACACUGUUCAUCUAUUUAUAGGCACGGGACGCAGCCCAUGCAAAAUUACAUCCAGGCCCUUUGCUUUUGACAAUAACUCUAUAGUAAUCUAUCUGGGUCUAGAUAGUCUUUUCCUCUUUAAGUCGGUUUCCUCUUUUCUGCCAUCAUACCGAAGCUCCCUUGCGCACAGCUUCGGCUCUGCUCCAUCCUUCGUAUUGUUUCCGUGCUUCUUCAUACCGUGGGCUCUUGUUCGAAGAUCCCUAUCCACACAUUAUACUCCAGAGGCAUUGUUAAAUCAUGUUUUUGAGGACCUUCGGAAGUCGAAGGCCCCCAACAGUAGCCCCUCGCAAUAUUAAUUUAUUAGAAUGAUAAAUUUAGAUCGCGACAUGGACGAAGGCCUUAAGCCGAAGGUCCGAAAAAACACCUUCCCUUUGCUAGAAUAGCAACAAUCAAUGACAAGCGGGGCCCUUUCCCUUGCAACACACUAGGCGUAUAAAUAAGAGCAUACCGCGAGCGGAUUUGGCACGCUUUUUGCCAUCUGCUCUUGCUCACCCAACUUUUAGCCCUUGCACACCAACACCUGCUUGGCCUUUUUUUAAAAAAAUUUAAGCUUCGGUUUCGAGAGCACUUUCUCAGCAUUUUCGAAGAUGUCUGAAGAUAAGAAAGUUGUCGCUGAGUCGAAGCUGAGACUUUCUGAGGAGAUGAAUCUCGGCUUUCUUGAAUCAAUAGCGAAGACAAAUACAGAGAAGAUUACUAGGGAGAUUUUAGAAGGUUUAUCUGAAGACACUGGUGACAGUGACAGUUAUGAUGUGGAAAGUGGUGGUGAAGAUUCCGAAGAUCGACCCUGGUGACCAAGCCAUGCAGUUUUUGGAAAAUCAAGCAUUAAACUAAGCCAUCUUGUUAAUAUGAGGGGCAGAUAUUUUCGGGAUUUAUCUAUUGUGAGGGCUGAUGAAGGAGAAAAAACUUGUCCUACUCCUGAGGAAAAUGAAGUCGUGAUAUUCCGAAGCUUCUUCAAGGCUGGGCUUCGGUUUCCUUUAAGCGGUUUCGUGGUUGAAGUUUUGAAGAUUUUUGAAAUCUACCUCCAUCAAAUUACUCCUGAAGCAAUCAUAAGGAUGGGAAUCUUCGUAUGGGCUGUGAAGAGCCAAGGUUUGGAGCCGAAUGCAAAAAGUUUCUGCAAUAUGCAUGAGCUAUUAUACGAGACGAAACCUUGGGGUAAAGAGAAAUAUCAUAACAAUUUUGGCUGCUACAGCUUCGGCGCCCGCUCUGGGUCAAGCUGUCCCGUGCCAACUUUUUGGAAGAGAUGGCCCGGGGACUCGAUGAAGGAAUGGUGUUAUGUAAAAAACGACUUGAAAACGCGAGAAGGUAUUAAAGAUAUCAUCAUGCGCCCCAUCUGGCAGCGUUUCGGCCUUCGGAAACCGAAGGUGGAUAUUGACGAAGCAACCGAAGAAUGCCAGAGGGCCUUCGGCGUAGUUUGCUCUUUCAUCGGGACAAGGGAUUUGAUCCAGGAACAUAUUUCCUUCAGAGUAUGGCCACUUGUAGAAAAGUGGGAAAUGCCGAAGGAAACCAUCAGCAAACCUGAUGAAGUGGACUAGUUAGGUUAAAAUAUACCUUCAGAUAUGGAGAUAAGUUUGUGGAGCCAGAUGAUGACUGGCUGAAAUGUAUUGAGGCCACAAGCGAUGAACUGCUUGGGCCAUAUUCGAAGACAGAAGAUACUGCACUGUCCGCGGCCUUCGGAGGUCGGAAGAAGAGACUCAACCGAGUGUUUGAUGCCAUUGGGUUCGUCUAUCCUGACUACCGUUACCCAACACAGGGUCAGAAAGGGAAAGAUACGACUUCUGUGAAGAAAGUUGCUUCAGCCGCUCCUAGUGAGCCGGCGCCGAAGAGGAAAAAGAUGAAGGUUCUUACGCACCGGCCACGCUAUAUUGAACCGGCCACAGUGCCUGAGUUUGUCGGUGAGACCUCUUCGGCCACCGAAGCCAAGGAGCCGACUCUCCUGCCGAAUAUUGAAGAGCCGGCCAAAAUGCCGGCAAUGGAAAAAAUAGAAGAACCGAGGGCUGAAGAGACAAAGACAUCGGAAAAGAAUGGUUAACGUGCUAAUGCCGAAUAUUGAAGUCCUUCAGCAAGAAUCGAGGUGCUAAUGCCAAUGCCGAUGGCACAAAAAGACCUUACGACAACCCCCAAGAGGAAAAGAAUGGUUAACGUGCUAGAUGUACUGGAAACGAUAAAAUCUUCAAGCUCUACUCCGAAGAUAGCUACUGAAGUUCCAAAGACACAAACUGAGGCCAAAGCUGCCAAAAGUCAAGCGGAAACUGAAACUGGGCUUUCAGAGCCUACCAAGAGGGAAUUCUUGGAAAUUGAAAAAGAAACGGAAAAAGAAUCUGCAGAAGAAACUUUUUCUGAGAAAAUCGUCACACAUAUUCCCGAAGCAUCUUCUGAAGCUUCUGACUAUGUAUUACGUCAUGCUUCGGGUAAAAAUCUGAGCGAAAAAGAAAAAAGAGAAGCUCAAUUCUAUGCGCAAAAAUUGAAAUAUCCAAAAGGGGCGCUGAUAUUCAACGGCAGCGGAGAAGAAGACUUCUUGUAUUGUCUCCCUCAUAGCAAGGAGAUUUCUGUCUGUCGGGAGAUGAGCAAAAGCUUCGGAUUCCCAACAUUAGAAGACGGGCUCUUGGUGUUGUCAAAGGACGAGCUAGCCGACAGCUUAGCGUAUAAUAGUUUAAAGGUGAAGAAAAUGAGAUCUUUGUAUUAUUUCUUGAAACCAAAAUUUUUCAUUUGCUUAAACUUAUUAACGCAUUUUUUUACAGGGUCUUAUACUUAGCAAUGCCCUCAGGGCACAAAAGAAUGACGAAGACGAAGGGUGCGCCAUAGCCCUGAGCAACCUUCGUUCCGAAGUAAUUGAUCUAAGGAACGAAGGUCUCGAAAAAGAUAAAAUAUUACAUUCGUUGGUGAAUAAAAUAAAAGAAGAUGAAGCUACUUUCAAAGCUCAAGCUGAGGCUCAGAAGCACGAAAUUGAGAAUCUUCGGAAACAACUAGCCAGAGCUACAGAAGAAUACACAAUUGAAGAAACAAAACGAGAAAUUAGUGAACAAUGGGCAAAUCAUUUAGAAAAAAACGUUGAAGAGCUUCGUGCGUCCAAGAAAAGGUGUUAUGAAAAAUCUAUAGAAUGUGUUAAGAAAAUAAGAACCAGCUUCACCAACGUUGGCGCGUUUUCAAGUGAAGAAAAUUUCAUGAGGGGUGACCCCGAAAGCCCAAUUGGAUGGAUCAGCCACGAAGCUGAAGCUUUUGAAUAGCCGUGGAGACAUAUGUGCCUUCUCGGGUGCCAGGGGGAUUGCCGCUGUUUUGGAGAAGAAAGGUUGCGAUCACGUGAAAUCCCUGGCACAGACCGAAGCCGUUUUAUCCUCUGAAGACAUAAAAGACCCUUCGGCCGAGGCGAGUUUGGUUGGUGGGAAAUUUUUCACCGACAUCUGGGAAAACGGUGGCCGGGAGAUGGCUCAAGAAAUUAUACGGAGAAGCGAGAAUGGUAUACAUGACGCUAGAAAAGUAGCAGAGGCCGCUGAGAAAAGUGUGGAUCUCGAAGGGCGAAUAGGUAUUAACUAGUAAUUUUUGGCUUUUUGUUGUAACCUUUUGAUUUUGAACUUGUUUACACUUUGUAACAUGGUCGCACCUUCUCCUCCCUCAGAGCCUGCCGAGCCAUCGACAGACCCCCACGUAAAGGGGGAUGACGAGAUUAGAAGAAUGGCUGAAGCUAUCAUGGACAAAGUUGUUGAUCAAUUACUAAACGAAGCUGCAGAAAUAGUUCUAAGGGAAGAUUAGAUGUUAUUGUAAAAACAUUUGGAAUGUAAUAUUUGUUGAACAAUAUGUGUAAUAUUUUGUAACUUUGAAUGUAAUAUAUAAUCUAUUUGUGGUUCAAUUCUUUACGAUGCAUGAAACUUUACAUACAUACCGUUUUUGAGCCUUCGGCGAAAAAACACCUUCCCUUCUUUUCAUGCUUCGUAAAUAAUAUCCGUAUAUCAUAAAAACAUCCAAUUUUCGUAAAAUCAGUAACCAAUAGAUCUUUUUAUUUCAUAAAAACAUCCAAUCUUCGUAAAAUCAGUAACCAAUCUUCGUAAAGGCAUGCUUCUUCAAUAAUUAUUUUUGUGCCUUGGCACUGUUUCUUCGAAACAAUCUCCGAAUAUCAACAUUGAAACCCCCUUCUUGCGUCAUUGAUGCAAUAUGAUGUAUGAUGUUAUGCUAUGCAAAUGAUGUGAUGAUGUGAUGUUAUGCAAAAUGAUAUUUGCCGAAGAUCAACGUUUAUUUUUCACUGCAAGCCUCCCUUAGGAGCUUCUUCGCCUUUUACUUCAGCGGAAUCAGCAUUUAUUUUUCGCUGUAAGCCUCCCUUAGGAGCUUCUUCGCCUUUUACUUUCAGCGGAAUCAGCGUUUAUUUUUUGCUGUAAGCCUCCCUUAGGAGCUUCUUCGCCUUUUACUUUCAGCGGAAUCAGCGUUUAUUUUUCGCUGUAAGCUCUGCAUUCCCUUCGGAACGACUUUUGAGCAGAAAACUUACGCUGCGCUCCCUUAGGAACGACUUUUUGUUAUUUCGGAGAUUCUCCUUGUAACCAUAAAUUCUUAUGCUUCGGCAACUCUGUUAUUUUGUGGAGAAGGUAUAUUUUUACUGUGGCGAAAACGAAGCUAUUACAAGAAAUUGAAAACGACAAAAAGCACUUAGGCUUUCAAUAAUUGUUCCUUAUUAAAAAGAAAAUGAUACUGAAUGUAAAAACUACUGCCGAGGUAGGAUAUUUGUUAGUAAAUAUGCUUCGAUUCUGGCACAGUACUAUUGACUGUGCGAGCUUCGGACUCUUCUCUAAAGUCCCGUUGAAGGUGGAUAUGCUGACUCCCUUCUGGCUGCUGGCUUUGUUGCAUUGGUGGUGGAGGUGGAGGCUGCUGCCAAGAUGCCUGAGGUUGGCUUGCCGAAGCAACAGAAGCUGCAGGGUGGUUGCCUACAUACUCUGGAAUGUAAGGCGAAUGGUAUGAAGCAGUGUGCAUAACUUGCUUCGGCUGGCUCUGUUGGGCUGCAGCUUCUGCUAUCUCCUUUUGUUUCUGGAUGGUAACAUGGCACAUCCUGGUGGUAUGGCCCUUGUCCUCUCCACAGAAUAGGCAAUAGAUCUUCCUGGGCUGAUCCCCAAAUCUUCCUCCGAAGCCCCUGGCACCUCUACCCCUUGGAGCUGGAGGCCGAGGAUAGCUCUGCUGCUGCCCCGAAGCCUGGGAGGAAUAUUGCGGCCUCUGCUGCUGGCUUCCCCUGUCAUCAUUCUGAGUGUUAUGAAUCGAUCUGACAUGUCUAGGGUGAACUCUCCCUCCGAAGCCACUGGCUAUUUUGGAGAACCUGUAAGCUUCCUCCCUUCUCUAUCGGAAGUCGUUGUCAGCGCGGAUGUAUUCGUCCAUCUUCUGAAGCAGUUUCUCCAGAGUCUGAGGGGGCUUCCUGGCAAAGUACUGGGCUGAAGGUCCUGGCCGAAGCCCCUUAAUCAUGGCCUCAAUGACAAUUUCAUUGGGCACUGUUGGUGCUUGUGCCCUCAGGCGUAAGAACCUUCGGACAUACGCCUGAAGAUAUUCUCCGUGGUCUUGGGUGCACUGGAAUAAGUCUUGAGCGGUGACCGGCUUCGUUUGAAACCCUUAGAAACUGGUGAUCAGCAUAUCCUUCAGCUUCUGCCAUGAUGUGAUUGUUCCUGGCCGAAGGGAGGAGUACCAGGUUUGUGCAACAUUCUUGACGGCCAUGACGAAAGACUUCGCCAUGACUGCAAUAUUGCCACCAUAGGAAGAUAUCGUUGCUUCGUAGCUCAUCAGAAACUGCUUCAGAUCUGAGUGUCCGUUGUACAUGGGGAGUUGAGGUGGCUUGUAAGACGGAGGCCAAGGUGUAGCCUGCAGUUCUGGUGAUAGAGGAGAAGCAUCGUCAAAAGCAAAAUUUCCAUGAUGGAAAUCCUCAUACCAGUCAUCCUCGUUGACGAAGCCCUCUUGGUGGAGCUCUCUGUACUGGGGCCUCCGGUUCUAUUCAUCUUGCGUAAGAUGACGAACCUCUUUAGAGGCUUUGUCUAUCUGCCUUUGUAGGUCAGCUAGCCGGGCCAUCUUUUCUUUCUUCUUUUGCACUUGUUGAUGCAGCAUUUCCAUGUUCCUGAUUUCUUGGUCCAAAUCGUCCUCCUGAGGCGUUGGACUGGUGGCCUUCCUCUUCUGGCUUCGGGCUUCCCGAAGAGAGAGAGUCUCCUGGUUCGUGUCCAGCGGCUGCAGAGCCGCAGCCCCUGUUGCUGAAGCUUUCUUUGGCGGCAUGACAAAGGUCGAUGCUUGCCGAAGGUGUUCGAAACUCAAAAAGUGGAAGUGAGUUCACCGGAGGUGGGCACUAAUGUUGGGGACUUGUUCUCAAAUGCUAAGAGUUAAGAACAAGGAAACAUAAAAAUGUUAAAUGCUAAAGUCCUUAGUCCUUCGAAGCAUUAUUUCCCUUAGGAUAUAAUGAAUUUCGGACGAAGGUUAUGAAGGACAUACCUUCAUAAGCACAACGAAUGAUGAAGAAGAAUUCAUAUAAAUUAUGAGAUAUAACAUAAACAUUUAAACAUUAUUAUUAACUCAUUUCUAUUGACUUGUCAGGGAAAAAUAGAAAUGAUAAUAAAUUACAAAUAUACCUUCGGCUUGAGAGAAGGUAAAGGUACAAGCGUGAGGCAAAAGCAAAUGCCAAGUCAGCGUGAAUAGUACGGGAACACUGUUCAUCUAUUUAUAGGCACGGGACGCAGCCCAUGCAAAAUUACAUCCAGGCCCUUUGCUUUUGACAAUAACUCUAUAGUAAUCUAUCUGGGUCUAGAUAGUCUUUUCCUCUUUAAGUCGGUUUCCUCUUUUCUGCCAUCAUGCCGAAGCUCCCUUGCGCACAACUUCUGCUCUGCUCCAUCCUUCGUAUUGUUUCCGUGCUUCUUCAUACCAUGGGCUCUUGUUCGAAGAUCCCUGUCCACACAUUAUACUCCAGAGGCAUUGCUAAAUCAUGUUUUUGAGGACCUUCGGAAGCCGAAGGCCCCCAACAGUUAUUUUGCUCUAAGAUCGGCAGUAAUGAAGUAUAAAUCAUCGUUGUGGUGUGCUACUCGGUUAAUUGAGCAUUAACACACACAAACAUGACGAGGAUGGUAUAAUCUCCAAAAAUGUGUACUUUGUUAGGUGGGACCCUAUAGCCUUGCAGAAUGUGCUAUGUUAGGCAUGCCUGGAAACGUGUGACGCAUACGUUUUGUGAACCUGUUCAUAUUAUAUGUGCUUUUAUAUUAUCGUAUUUUAUUAAAAUACUAAUAUUUAUUACUAGUAAGAUAUAACAUUCUAUCUAGCUUAAAAACUAACCAUAAAUAUUCCAUAAUAACUAGAUUUACCAAACUAAUAUACUAAAUAUACAUAAUAAAUACAAAAUUAACAAGACAAUAAUCAAUAUUUAUGAGCUUAAUAUAUUUAGACAUUAUGGUUGGUCGACGAUAAUCAUGCUAACUUUCCGUAAUUGCUUGAUUGUAAAUAUGCUUAGAAUAAUGCCUCUUUGUUCUACAUGGCAAAUAGGGACCAUUAUGGUGUAACACCCUGGGAUCCACAAACACCCUGAAAUGCUACUAAACUACACAACUAACCUUCAUAUAUUAAAUUUCGACAGCAUCUCCUUUGAAAAUUUGUAUAAACGUGGAAGCAACAGAGUAUAAACAGAUAUGAUGAUAAGGAAACAUAAUAGACAUUAAUAAUCUGCUAGAAAUGGGAAGAUAACCAUAACGACAUAAACUGAAUUAACUAGUGUGCACGGCAUGUUAAAAACAAACAUCGUUGACAAGAAGUUUCUAAUUAAAUCAUGGCUGUGCCUAGGCAGCGUUAUUAUAUGAGUGAAGGUGGACGUGAUGCUACUUCCCUCAUUCCCAACAUGAAUCAAGUACCUGUAUUGAGUAAUGCAAGAGUGAGAUGAAAACAUCUCAGCAAGUAAAUUGUUUUGACGAGAUAUUUAAACCAAAAAAAUUUGAUUUAAUCAACAUUUUAAAGGGAUCACAAUUGAGAUCAGACAUACUUGUAGAUAUAAAACUCAAUAGUCCCAAAAUAACCAAUGCCAUCUCAUUUCCACAAACAACCACAAUAGGUUGUAUAACACUUCCCUGCGUCAUCAAUACCUGCAAAUAUCACUUCAAUGUAUGCAUAGGAAUGCAAUGUUUAAGUCCUCUGCAUUCAUACUUCUUAGAGUAUAAAACCACACCAUCUGCAAAUAUCACUUCAAUGAAUGCAUAUGAAUGCAAUGCAUAUGUCCUCUGCCUUCAUACCUCUAAGGGUAUGAAGACGCAUCGUACCCCUCCUCGGGCAACGUACGAUGCUAAGUUGUACCGGUACGGUCGGACCAUAGGUCACGACAAAACUUCAGAUGCAAGUGAAUCAUGACAUGUAUAUGGCAUGCUGCAUUUAUCAAUAUACUACACUUCCUUCACAUACAAUACAAACCUCAAAUAAUACUUCGUUUACCUUCAGAUACAAUACAAACCUCAAAUAAUACUUCAUUCACCUUCAGGGGUGUUUAUUAAUCUCGUGGGUCAUACUCAAAUCAUCAUCAUCAUCAAUGAUGUUUAAGCAUCAGUAUAAUACAAUCAAGUAAAGCAUCACCAUAGAGUUCAAUUAUGAAAGAAUUCGAUGAUUCUGAAUAUUAGAGUGUAUGCGAUGAAACAACAAAGUCAAAACGGUAGCAACCACCGCUACAUUCACUUGCCUUCAUCGAAGAAGAAAAAGGUACUAGGCAUGAUUCGGAGUGUAGACACCUGCUGUGGGGCUUAAAACUUAGUACAAAUAUUCCACAAACAUUUGCCAACAACUAACAAAUCGCUCCUACACUUGUAACCAAGACCCGGUGGAAUGACUCCCACCCUGAACCACAUGUCAAACAGCAGGAGUGCUGUUUGUUAAUUUUGUAUCUUUAAAAUUAUAACAGUGGUGAUAUCAAACAAAUACUCUAGAAGUUUCUACACAAAAUACUCUACAACUUCGGUAUUCAAUGGAUAAUUAAAUUUUGCCAUCUAUAAGUUCUAAAACAUCUGACAAGAUAACUGACAGAAUCUGUUUCAGACAGCAGCAUAGUUAACUUCAAAAUUCGAUAUCUCCCAAACUCCUCAACCAAAAUUUAUGAAAUUAUGUUGACAGUAAGAACUUUUAUCCCUCUACAAAAGUCUCCAUAGUUGGAAGAGCCAAUUCGGCCAUUUACUAGAUGAAACCUACCAUUUAACAGACCCGCUCAUUUUUGUCAGGCAAACAAGAACCCUUAUAUAUCAAAGAGUAGUGGAUUUGAAUUUGUCUAAUAUGAAGUUUAUGGGCUUGGAUCAUUUAAAGUAUUUUAUAAUUCUGAAAGACAAGAUUAAACUAACUAUGUAUGAUCCUUUAGCACCGUACAGAUGGUCGAUGGGACAGUUACAUGGUUUAUAUAGAUGGACAUAUCUAUAUUCCUUCAGUGGUUGAGAAAAAGGUAAAGGUGUGUCACACUCACGCGUGCACUGCCUCCGCCGAGACGAGGCAUGGCGUUGCAAGGUGAGGCAUGGCAUGGUGCAGCACGAUCGUAUACAUGGUCGUGGCACAGUGUAGCACUGUUGUGGAUAGAUAGAUAAACUUUUGUUGUAGUUAGAGUGCAUGAGUUUUUGAAUGCAACACAAGAAUUUUCACAAUUUAACUUAAUUAAGAAGUUAUAUCUUGAUGACACAGAGUUACCUGACCAUUGAUCUCACAUGCCCUUUUAGCUCUCUCGUUCUCUAGACUCACCCUGACUAUUUAGGUCUCCUGACUCGCCAAUAUAAACACCAUCCUAUCAUUUGCUCUCGAAUACUUCUGUGUCACAACUCAACUGUCAGAUGAGUACUCCAUUACAGCACUGAGCAGGCCUCCGAAAUGAAUAUCUACUCAGAUGAAGGACGACAAUCGUGUUCUAGGGAAAUAUCAGCGACACAACUCCUUACUUCCUCCGCUUCUUCCUAGUGUUUUUUGUUGUGAUUGAGUCGACAUAGCAACAACACUGCACUAUUACAACCAGUACGACUAUAUCAACUAGCAAUGUCUUCCUUAUAUGUUACUAUUUAUUUUGCUCAUAUUCAUUAUGUUUAAAUCACAUAGGCGCCUUUAUGUUGGCAUCAAAAAAUCAGUAUCAACUUUAUAGAUUAAAAUGAAACUAAAAGUACCUAAAUUUCUAUCGGUGGGGAUCGAGUGAUUCUUUAAACCGAUUAUUACACAAGUUAACCACACUAAAAUUAACAAUGGUGAAUCGUGCCAUGAUUUUUUUCUAGUGGAAAAUAGCCAAACCAAGCAACACAUAUGUGGCUAUCGUUACACAUGUGUAAAGGUAUUGCAUCACACCAUUGUCACCCAUGUAUUUGGACAAUACCGAGAGGAAAAACCACUUAUUUAUUGUAUUAUAUCAAGUUUGUCUUGCUUACGUAUAAAUUAUAACCCAACAAAGUAAUCACUAAAUGUCAAAACCAACUAGAUACCAUGUCAUCUCUACCUUAUCUUACUAAUAUUCUUUUUGCAAAAUCCAAAAUUAAUCUUGCACAAGCACAAGGACUGAGAUGUGUAUAAAUAUCUCUUAAAUUAGUAGCUAAUAUAUCGCACAUAUUAUUGAGACCAACUAGCAACAUAGAAAGCACAAUAGUGUACCAACAAUGGCAGCCAAAAUAUUUUGCCUCCUUAUGCUCCUUGGUCUUUCUGCAAGUGCUGCUACGGCGACCAUUUUCCCGCAAUGCUCGCAAGCUCCUAUAGCUUCCCUUCUUCCCCCGUACCUCUCACCAGCGGUGUCUUCGGUAUGUGAAAACCCAAUUCUUCAACCCUACAGGAUCCAACAGGCAAUCACAGCUGGCAUCUUACCUUUAUCACCCUUGUUCCUCCAACAAUCAUCAGCCCUAUUACAUCAGUUACCUUUGGUGCAUUUAUUGGCACAAAACAUCAGGGCACAACAACUACAACAACUUGUGCUAGCAAACCUUGCUGCCUACUCUCAGCAACAGCAGUUUCUUCCAUUCAACCAACUAGCUGCAUUGAACUCUGCUUCUUAUUUGCAACAACAACAACUACCAUUCAGCCAGCUACCUGCUGCCUACCCCCAGCAAUUUCUUCCAUUCAACCAACUGGCAGCAUUGAACUCUCCUGCUUAUUUACAGCAGCAACAACUACUACCAUUCAGCCAGCUAGCUGGUGUGAGCCCUGCUACCUUCUUGAUACAACCACAGUUGUUGCCGUUCUACCAGCACGCUGCGCCUAACGCUGGCACCCUCUUACAACUGCAACAAUUGCUGCCAUUCAACCAACUUGCUUUGACAAACCCAGCAGCGUUCUACCAACAACCCAUCAUUGGUGGUGCCCUCUUUUAGAUUUCUUAUGAGUUAUAGUUCAAUAAUAAAGUUUUUUGUCUGAUGUUUGUGGCUUCCCAGAAAUAAGAAAGUACAUUUCUAGAUUCUUAUGUGCUUCUAGUCUCCAAAUGUGGUUGAUAGUUAUUUUGCUCUAAGAUCGACAGUAAUGAAGUAUAAAUCAUCGUUGUGGUGUGCUACUCGGUUAAUUGAGCAUUAACACACACAAACAUGACGAGGAUGGUAUAAUCUCCAAAAAUAUGUACUUUGUUAGGUGGGACCCUAUAGCCUUGCAUAAUGUGCUAUGUUAGGCAUGCCUGGAAACGUGUGACGCAUAUGUUUUGUGAACCUGUUGAUAUUAUAUGUGCUUUUAUAUUACCAUAUUUUAUUAAAAUACUAAUAUUUAUUACUAGUAAGAUAUAACAUUCUAUCUAGCUUAAAAACUAACCAUAAAUAUUCCAUAAUAACUAGAUUUACCAAACUAAUAUACUAAAUAUACAUAAUAAAUACAAAAUUAACAAGACAAUAAUCAAUAUUUAUGAGCUUAAUAUAUUUAGACAUUAUGGUUGGUCGACCAUAAUCAUGCUAACUUUUCGUACUUGCUUGAUUGUAAAUAUGCUUAGAAUAAUGCCUCUUUGUUCUACAUGGCAAAUAGGGACCAUUAUGGUGUAACACCCUGGGAACCACAAACACCCCGAAAUGCUACUAAACUACACAACUAACCUUCAUAUAUAAAAUUUCGACAGCAUCUCCUUUGAAAAUUUGCAUAAACGUGGAAGCAACAGAGUAUAAACAGAUAUCAUGAUAAGGAAACAUACUAGACAUUAAUAAUCUGCUAGAAAUGGGAAGAUAACCAUAACGACAUAAACUGAAUUAACUAGUGUGCACAACUUGUUUAAAACAAACAUCAUUGACAAGAAGUUUCUAAUUAAAUCAUGGCUGUGCCUGGGUAGCGUUAUUAUGAGAGUGAAGGUGGACGUGAUGCUACUUCCCUCAUUCCCAACAUGAAUCAAGUACCUGCAUUGAGUAAUGCAAGAGUGAGAUGAAAACAUCUCAGCAAGUAAAUUGUUUUGACGAGAUAUUUAAAGCAAAAAAAUUUGAUUUACUCAACAUUUUAAAGGGAUCACAAUUGAGAUCAGAAAUACUUGUAGAUAUAGAACUCAAUAGUCCCAAAAUAACCAGUGCCAUCUCAUUUCCUCAAACAACCACAAUAGGUUGUAUAACACUUCCCUGCGUCAUCAAUACCUGCAAAUAUCACUUCAAUGUAUGCAUAGGAAUGCAAUGUUUAAGUCCUCUGCAUUCAUACUUCUUAGAGUAUAAAACCACACCAUCUGCAAAUAUCACUUCAAUGAAUGCAUAUGAAUGCAAUGCAUAUGUCCUCUGCCUUCAUACCUCUAAGGGUAUGAAGCCGAAUCGUACCCCUCCUCGGGCAACGUACGAUGCUAAGUUGUACCGUUACGGUCGGACCAUAGGUCACGACAAAACUUCAUAUGCAAGUGAAUCAUGACAUGUAUAUGGCUUGCUGCAUUUAUCAAUAUACUUCACUUCCUUCAUAUACAAUACAAACCUCAAAUAAUACUUCGUUUACCUUCAGAUACAAUACAAACCUCAAAUAAUACUUCAUUCACCUUCAGGGGUGUUUAUUAAUCUCGUGGGUCAUACUCGAAUCAUCAUCAUCAUCAAUGAUGAUUAAGCAUCAGUAUAAUACAAUCAAGUAAAGCAUCACCAUAGAGUUCAAUUAUGAAAGAAUUCGAUGAUUCUGAAUAUUAGAGUGUAUGCGAUGAAACAACAACGUCAAAACGGUAGCAACCACCGCUACAUUCACUUGCCUUCAUCGAAGAAGAAAAACAUACUAGGCAUGAUUCAGAGUGUAGACACCUGCUGUGGGGCUUAAAACUUAGUACAAAUAUUCCACAAACAUUUGCCAACAAUUAACAAAUCGCUCCUACACUUGAAACCAAGACCCGGUGGAAUGACUCCCACCCUGAACCACAUGCCAAACAAUAGUAGUGUUGUUUGUUAAUUUUGUAUCUUUAAAAUUAUAACAGUGGUGAUAUCAAACAAAUACUCCAGAAGUUUCUACACAAAAUACUCUACAACUUUGGUAUUCAAUGGAUAAUUAAAUUUUGCCAUCUAUAAGUUCUAAAACAUCUGAUAAGAUAACUGACUGAAUUUGUUUCAGACAACAGCAUAGUUAACUUCAAAAUUCGAUAUCUCCCAAACUCCUCAACCAAAAAUUAUGAAAUUAUUCUGACAGUAAGAACUUUUUUCCCUCUACAAAAGUAUCUAUAGUUGGAAGAGCCAAUUCGGCCAUUUACUAGAUGAAACCUACCAGUUAACAGACCCGCUCAUUUUUGUCAGGCAAACAAGAACCCUUAUAUAUCAAAGAGUAGUGGAUUUGAAUUUGUCUAAUAUGAAGUUUAUGGGCUUGGAUCAUUUAAAGUAUUUUAUAAUUCUGAAAGACAAGAUUAAACUAACUAUGUAUGAUCCUUUAGCACUGUACAGAUGGUCGAUGGGACAGUUACAUGGUUUAUAUAGAUGGACCUAUCUAUAUUCCUUCAGUGGUUGAGAAAAAGGUAAAGGUGUGUCACACUCACGUGUGCGCCGCCUCUACCGAGAUGAGGCAUGGCGUUGCAAGGUGAGGCAUGGCAUGGUGCAGCACGAUCGUAUACAUGGUCGUGGCACAGUGUAGCACUGUUGUGGAUAGAUAGAUAAACUUUUGUUGUAGUUAGAGUGCAUGAGUUUUUGAAUGCAACACAAGAAUUUUCACAAUUUAACUUAAUUAAGAAGUUAUAUCUUGAUGACACAGAGUUACCUGACCAUUGAUCUCACAUGCCCUUUUAGCUCUCUCGUUCUCUAGACUCACCCUGACUAUUUAGGUCUCCUGACUCGCCAAUAUAAACACCAUCCUAUCAUUUGCUCUCGAAUACUUCUGUGUCACAACUCAACUGUCAGAUGAGUACUCCAUUACAGCACUGAGCAGGCCUCCGAAAUGAAUAUCUACUCAGAUGAAGGACGACAAUCGUGUUCUAGGGAAAUAUCGGUGACACAACUCCUUACUUCCUCCGCUUCUUCCUAGUGUUUUUUGUUGUGAUUGAGUCGACACAGCAACAACACUGCACUAUUACAACCAGUACGACUAUAUUAACUAGCAAUGUCUUCCUUAUAUGUUACUAUUUAUUUUGCUCAUAUUCAUUAUGUUUAAAUCACAUAGGCACCUUUUUGUUGGCAUCAAAAAAUUAGUAUCAACUUUCUAGAUUAAAGUGAAACUAAAAGUACCUAAAUUUCUAUCGGUGGGGAUCGAGUGAUUCUUUAAACCAAUUAUUACGCAAGUUAACCACACUAAAAUUAACAUUGGUGAACCGUGCCAUGAUUUUUUCUAAUGGAAAAUAGCCAAACCAAGCAACACAUAUGUGGCUAUCGUUACACAUGUGUAAAGGUAUUGCAUCACACCAUUGUCACCCAUGUAUUUGGACAAUACCGAGAGGAAAAACCACUUAUUUAUUGUAUUUUAUCAAGUUUGUCUUGCUUACGUAUAAAUUAUAACCCAACAAAGUAAUCACUAAAUGUCAAAACCAACUAGAUACCAUGUCAUCUCUACCUUAUCUUACUAAUAUUCUUUUUGCAAAAUCCAAAAUUAAUCUUGCACAAGCACAAGGACUGAGAUGUGUAUAAAUAUCUCUUAAAUUAGUAGCUAAUAUAUCACACAUAUUAUUGAGACCAACUAGCAACAUAGAAAGCACAAUAGUGUACCAACAAUGGCAGCUAAAAUAUUUUGCCUCCUUAUGCUCCUUGGUCUUUCUGCAAGUGCUGCUACGGCGACCAUUUUCCCACAAUGCUCACAAGCUCCUAUAGCUUCCCUUCUUCCCCCGUACCUCUCACCAACGGUGUCUUCGGUAUGUGAAAACCCAAUUCUUCAACCCUACAGGAUCCAACAGGCAAUCGCAGCUGGCAUCUUACCUUUAUCACCCUUGUUCCUCCAACAAUCAUCAGCCCUAUUACAGCAGUUACCUUUGGUGCAUUUAUUGGCACAAAACAUCAGGGCACAACAACUACAACAACUUGUGCUAGCAAACCUUGCUGCCUACUCUCAGCAACAGCAGUUUCUUCCAUUCAACCAACUAGCUGCAUUGAACUCUGCUUCUUAUUUGCAACAACAACAACUACCAUUCAGCCAGCUAUCUGCUGCCUACCCCCAGCAAUUUCUUCCAUUCAACCAACUGACAGCAUUGAACUCUCCUGCUUAUUUACAGCAGCAACAACUACUACCAUUCAGCCAGCUAGCUGGUGUGAGCCCUGCUACCUUCUUGACACAACCACAGUUGUUGCCGUUCUACCAGCACGCUGCGCCUAACGCUGGCACCCUCUUACAACUGCAACAAUUGCUGCCAUUCAACCAACUUGCUUUGACAAACCCAGCAGCAUUCU